rnacentral:lncRNA from 1 species
CAUCUCUAAGAGGGACGUCCAUAUCAAUGCUCACGGAAUCGUUGUUGUCGGUGAUUGCUUGAUCAGUGGAAACUGCUCCGACGGCGCCGCCUCCUUCCUCCGUGGAGAACAUUUUCAGGCUGAGCGGUUGGAAGUAAUAAAGAAGGUGAUUUUGUAAACUGCUUUUGGGUGAGUGAGUGAUGUUGGAGAAAAGGUGGCAAAGUGGAUACGAUGAUGGGAAAUAUUUUAUAGCUUACACGAUACACAUAUAUAUAUGGGAAAUACUUACACCGUGUUUGGUUUAGUGUAAUAGCUAAUCCAUUACGCCCCGAUUACGUGCCUAUUACAUUACUGAUCUAUUCCGGCGUUUGGUUCGCUGUAAUAGGUAUUACGCGCCUAUUACAAUACCGACCUAAGCCCCAAAUUCUCUGCUUUUCUAUUCCCUUCCCAAAUCCCAGAUUACCUAUUACGUCCGGCUUCCCUUCCCAAGUCUCUGUUUUACCCUCCCUCCCUACCCGAAAUCGACCUCCACCCUCUCCUUUUUCUGUCCUCAUCAUUUCUCCUCCCAUUUCACACUGCUUCAUUUUUUUCUCUCGGAGCACGUUUGGUUUUUGAAUAUUGAGGUAUGAAUCAACGUUUGGUUAAAAUGUUUAUGAUUUACUUGUUUAAAGUUUUCUAGAUCUUUUUCUAUAUCUAUAGUUUCUGCUAGUUCUAUUUCUUUGUUUUUCUUUUUGGUGCUAAAUACUCGCUCGAAUUAUUUUUUGAUUUGGAAUUAGGGUGUUUUCCGAUUAUAAUCUUACUAUUCUGAAAUCUUACUAAUGCUAUAUCGGUUACCCACAAUUUGUUCGUAACGAAAAACAUGGUUGGUAUUUUUUCCAGAUUUUCUGUUGGCAGGUCUGCCCAUCGACGCUCCAAGAGUGCCUUUGUAAGUUUCUAUAGCUUACAUAAAGAGGCGAAUAUAAGGGAAUGUAAAAUUGUUAUUUAGGCCCUUAACUUUAUUAAAAUUUCAAAUUAGUAAAGGUAAAAUUAUACUUUGGCCUCAUAAAAUUAUAAAAAUUCAAUUUAAUCUUUUAAAAAUUAUAAAGAUAUAGACUACAAAAAAUUAAAAUUUCAUUCUAUCCACCCUAAAAAAUUAUUCGGGCUUUGCUGCUACUUACAUAAUAAACAUAUGGAAAAUACUUUUGGUGUAAUUCAAAUUUACCCCUUAUAGUCAAUUUAAUUUUCAUUUUUUUUAAUUUAAUUUUCUAUCUUUUGGAAGAGUCGAACUUAACUAUCAAUUUAAAUUUAUGUUUUUUUAACGAAAAUAGUGACUAAAAUAUUAAAAUGUUAAACAUGACAACUCAAACGGCAAUCCACAUCUAUAUUUUUAUAUUCAUUUCUUAUUUUUUAAAUUAUUUAUUGACGUGACAUAUAAUAAAAGUAUUGUUAUGUUAGCAUGAAGUACACAUGAAUUGCCACACUAGUUGUGACACCAAUAUCGUUAAAAAAUUAAUAUUUCAGUUAGCAUAUUUGUUAAAGAAAAGUAAAUUGGUUCUUUUUUGAAAGGUUAAUGGUUAAAUUUAGCUCAAAUGAAAAAAAAUAAAGGCCAAUUUGAUAAAAAAAGGUAAAUGUCAAAAGUUAAGUUUAUCAUUUAUACAAGUAUAAAUAUAUGUCUGGAUUAAUCUAGAAAGAACCAGACAAACUCUACACGUGAUAUUCAAAUGUGACGAGAGGGAAAUCUACACAUCACAAUUGAGAAUAAUAUUAUAGAAAUACUCAAAAACCUAAAACCUUCCCCUUAACCAAGAAGCUAAGACGCUAUGGAUAAUUUUAUAUCUACAACACUUCAUGAAUUUCAUAUGCUUAAUAAGAGUUCUUUAAAUAUAUUCGAUUUUUAUUUUAUUAUUUAUAUUAUUUUGACUCAGUAUUUAAAUUAUCAUUAUGUUACAUGAUUUAUUUCAAAUAUUUUAUAUAUUUUUAUAACGAAAUUUGAAUUAAAAAAAUAUCAAUUUUAUUAUUAAAUUAUAAUUUGAUAUAUUUUGAGAUAAUGCAAUUUUAAGUAUUUCAAUUUAUUUAAUCAUUAUUUUUAAACUCGUUUUUUGUUUUGUUAGUAUUGCAUAAUUUUAACGUGUAUAUAUAUAUAUAUAUUUAAAGUUCUACUUAUUUUUAAGUUAUGUCAAAUAAUUGACAACUUUAUUAAAGUAUGCAUUUGAAUUUAUAAAUUUUUUUAGGUUGAAAUUAAAUUGUAUACUUUUACGAUAGUAAAAAUAUAAUUUUAUCAUUUUAAUUGCCUAUAUCGUUAUAAAUUUUAAAAUAUUAAAUCAAAUUUAUAUCAUUUUUGGAGGGUAAAGUAUAAUUUUAUCAUUACUAAUUUAAAAUUUUAUAAAUUAUAAAGGGGUCUAAAUAAUUUUUUUUUCAUUUUAAAGGAGACCAAGACUCUACAACCCUUGAAUUCGCCUCUAUCCAUAUAUUAUAUUUUAUUAAUCGAUUAUACAUGUAAACAUAUUUGUUUUUACUAAUACAUUUUAUUAAUCAAAUGGCUUUUUUUUUUUUACUGUUAAGUUAUCUUUUUUUAACUCCAUACAACAAAAUUUAUUUGCUCACAGUUUAACAUAUUUUUUUAUUAUUUCAGCAAUAAUAUUUUAUACUUAUCUAUAUAUCAAAUAUCAUGAUUCUCUAACAUUAUUAAGAUUAAAUAAAUAAAAUAUGUAUAUAUAUAAAUAAUGUUUUUUUACAAAAUUUUAAUUGUUUAAUCUCAAUAAUUUUCUUUUGCAACAUUAAAUCAUAUAAUACAUUUAGAAUAUUAAAAAUGUAUCAGAUUUUUAUUAAUAUAUACAUACAAUAAAUUUGUGUAUAGCAUGAGUAAACAAAUUAAUUAUUAAACUAUAAUUUGGCUCAAACUAAGUUAACCUUAACUUAAAAUUAGGUUAAAGUACUUGGGAUUUGGGACUUGGGAGGUUGGACUGGAUUAAAUUAGUCCUUCUGUUAUUAAAUGGAUCGAUUUAGUCCUUAUAUUAUUAAAAAGAAUCAAAUAAGUUCAAACUGAAAUAGAGUUAACAUUUACUGUAUAAAAAAUGUCUCGGCAAUUGCAAUUCAAUUCCAAACAGAAUGGUUCAUGUAUAUAACCAUAAGAACUUUUUAAAUAUUCACUUGUUAGACAAUAAUAGUAUAGGACUAAAUUGAUCCAUAUAUAUAUUAUUAAUAGAAAUGAGAAUUGUGCUUGGCCAAGUUUCUAAGUUUGGUAUUUGUUCUUACUUUCCUUCUUCAACCGUAGGAGCCACUCUCAUGACUUUUAUUUACUUUGCCAAGUUACUAAGUCAUGACUUUAGUAAAAGAUUUAGUUCCAUUUGUCGCUCCAACAUAACUUUUUUUUAACGAAGAUUCCAGUUAUAUCGAUAGGUAUACAUUGUUUCAAUAAUAAUUCGAAACAAUCAAUUUUAUUUUUUGCACAACGGUGGCGGGAGGUGGCAAGCAGGGGUAAAUGUAUAAGAUUAUAAAUUUCAAAGGUAAGAUUGUAAUUUGGCCCCAAAAAAUCAUAAGGCUUUAAUUUAGUUCUUUAAAAAAUUAUAAUGGUAUUAGCUAAUACAAUGAUGAAACUGUGUUUUAACCCUUAUCGAAAUUUAUAAUUUAAUUUCGGUCCCUCAAAUAAAAUUUUUGACUUCGUCCUUAUUUCCGCACUAGUAAAAAUUCUAAUCUAUAUCAUCUGCAACGGCCAAUACUAUAACAGUCUGAUUUUCAAUGGUAUCGGAAAAGAUGGUUUUGAAACCCCAUUUUCAUUGUCUGAGUCCAUAAAUAUUAAUAUUUAAUAUUUACAAGGCUAGUAUAAAAGUUUAUUGCAGUUUGGUCCAGCAAUUUUGUCUAAUUGAUAGUUAAAUAAGGUACAUGAACUAAAUUAUAAAAGUCCAAUCAAUAUAGGUUUUUAAUUAGCAAAGGACCAAAAGGGCUAUUAAACCAUCUUUUAUUAUAUGAUAGUGGAUAUAAACAAAUAUUAAAUUUAGUUAAUUAAACUUGAUUAUGAUUAAUUAAUCCAGUUUAAUUAAAUUCUAAUUAGACAAUAUAUACAAAUUAAGUGGAAAAAAUGAAAACAUUUUUCAUCUUCAUCAUCUUUGCUGAAUUUGAGAGACAGAAAAACCUAGAAAGCUUUCAUACAUUCGGUCCUCAAUUUCUAAGGCGAUUUAAGUUUUUUUCUUGUAACUUUUAUAUAUUUGAGGUUAUGGACGCUUCAUUUAUUUAGCUCAUGUAAUAAUUUGUAAAAUUGUUAAAGUUUUUGAAAGUUGCCGUUUUUAGUUUCUUGAAUAAAUAAAUAUUAAAUUAAUAGAUUUUAAGGUUAGAUGUGAAAAAGAAUUAAAUUAUAAAAUUUAAAUUGAUAAUUUUAAGCAAAAGGAUAAAAUUGUAUAAAUUGAAAAUUUGACGCUAGUUUUUUUAUAGUUUUAGAUAAUAGAGAGUUCUAAAAGAAUGUGAUUGAAAUUGAUUUCUGAUUUAGAGAUUAAAUUAAAUAAAAUAUGAAAUUUUAAAAAUAUCAUAAAAAUAAAAUUUAACUGACUCAUGCAUGCAUAUAACAAAAACUAAAAUUUUAAGGACACACCUUCAUGCAUUUCACUUCAUUAAUAACGAAAGAAGCAUGGCUACCUAGCUUUCUGCUUCAUCCAAAAUUGUUGAACUUUGGCCUAUAAUGCAAUAGUAGAGAAGCAAUGAAGCUCAACCAGUACAACAGCAACAUUUUGUUCAUAUGCAACUAGCUUUAGUUCUUUUGUAAUUUGUAUUUAAAGUUAGUAAGAUUAGUUGAUGAUUUGAAUAAUGUCUAAUGUGAUGUAAUAGUUGAUAUGCCAACUACAUUUUGUGUGUAAUUUAAGCUUUGUUUUAGUCAAGUUAUUAGUGGGAGCAGUUGUGUAUUAGGAAACUCUCAUGUAACUUAUAUGUUUAUCUUAAUGAAAAAUGCAUAUGAAAUUAGUUUUCAAGUUUCAUUUUUGUUCAAUUCUCUUUGUAUUCGUUUCUUGCUACUUUUCUCCUUUGUUUUCUAUCAAAACAUCAACAAAUGGUAUACAGAGCCUGUCAUUUUUGAGGGACUUUAUUGUUGGUAGUUGUUUUUGUGAGAAACCUUGAAGAAAAAGAAACUGAGGUUGUUGUUUUUAUUGUUGCUGCAAAAUGAGUUUUACACCACCACCACUACCACCUCUUUUUGCUGGUGAAAACUACCACAUUUGGGUAGUAAAGAUGAAGACUUACCUGCAAGCACAUGACUUGUGGAAUGUGGUUGAGAAUGACACAGAACCAGCUCCAUUGAGGGCCAAUCCCACUAUUGUAGAAAUUAGACAACAUUGUGUAAAGUGUGCUAAGAAGCACAAAUCUAUGUCAUGCUUAAAAAAUAGUGUCUGAUGUGAUCUUCACUCGAAUAAUGGCUUGUGACACUCCAAAGUAAGCCUCAGAGAAGCUGAAGGAAGAGUUUCUCGGGCCAGACAAGACUAGGCAGUAGCAGUUGAUCAACCUUAGGAAGGACUUUAAGAACUUGAAGAUGAGAGAGUCUAAAACAAUCAAGCAGUACUCUGAUAGGAUAAUGGCCACAGUCAACAACAUCAGGCUCCUUAGAGAUGAAUUCAGUGAGAGUAGAAUUGUUAAGAAAGUCAUUACAACCCUUCUUGAAAAAUUUAAAGCAAAAAUCUCCUCAUUAGAAGACUCGAGAGAUUUAUCAACCAUCUCACUAUCUGAGUUGAUAAAUGCUCUAUAUGCAUUAGAGCAAAGAAGGGCCAAUAGGAUGGAAGAGCAUCCUGAAGGAGCUUUCCAACUAGAAACCAAGGAAAGCUCAGGUUCAAGCUAUAAAGGAAAGAAACCAUGGCUUAACAAAAGGGAGAAACCAAAGAGGGAUGCAGGGAAGAAAAUGUUCCCACCAUGUAUUCACUGCAAAAGGUCCACACACUUGGAGAGGUAUUGCUGGUACAGACCUGAUAUUCAGUGUAAGAGCUGCAAGUAGUUUGGUCACAUUGAAAAGGUUUGCAAGAACAAAGGAACGACAUAAGCUCAACAGCAAAAUCAAGCUCAAGCUGCUGAGGAUAUUCAAGCUCAAGAGGAGCAUGUUUUCACUGCAUCCUAUUUUGCAACCUCAAGAAAAUUCAGAAGAGACUAGUUAGUAAACAGUGGCUGCACUCAUCAUAUGGCAUCUGAUGAAGGGUUAUUCAGAGAUCUUAACAAAAGAUUUGUUUCCAAAGUUAAGAUUGGAAAUAGAAACCUUAUUGAGGCCAGAGGCAAAAGCAAUGUUGUGAUCAACACACAUUCAGGUAACAAAAUAAUUUCAGAUGUUCUUUUUGUACUUGACAUAGACCAAAAUCUGCUUAGUGUUGGUCAAUUAAUAUAAAAGGGUUAUUCACUCAAUUUUAAGAACAACUCCUGUGUUAUUGGAGAUUCACUUGGUGAAGAAUUAGUUACAGUUGCUAUGACUGAGAGAUGCUUUAUGUUGGAUGUGAACCAGUUUGAAAUGAAGGCCUAUACUAGUCUUGCUGAUAAAGCUAGUUUAUGGCAUAAAAGGUUAGGCCAUGUCAAUUAUAAAUCACUCAGUUUGUUGCACAAACUCAAUUUGGUUGAAGACAUGUCCAAGGUUGAAGUCAAAGACAAAGUUUGUAAAAUUUGUCAGCUUGGGAAGCAAGUGAGAUUGCCUUUUCCAGUUAACAAGGCAUGGAGAGCUCGAGACAAGCUUCAAUUGGCCCAUACUGACAUUUGUGGACCAAUGAAGACCUUUUCUUUGAAUGAUAGCAGAUACUUUGUGCUAUUCAUAAAUGAUUAUACAAGGUUCUACUGGGUAAUUUUCUAAGACAAAAGUCAAAAGUACCUGAAGUAUUCAGCAAGUUCAAAGCCUUAGCUGAGAAUUAAUGAGGCUGUAAGCUUAAGGCCUUGAGAUUCAGUAAUUUGAUGAGGAAAAUGUAUGGAACUGGAAUGUUACAGAUGCAAACUUGAGUGAGGAAGGUCAACAAGAUAAUAAUCUGUAACCAGCUGAAGAAGAAGAGCCAAUUGCUGAUGAUUUUGAUGAUGUACCUGUGAAAGACACAAGAACCAUUACUGACAUCUAUCAAAGAUGUGAUGUUGCAAUACUGGACCUACAAAUUUGAUGAGGCUGCCAGAGAAUAGUGUUGGAAAAGGGCCAUGGAAGUUGAAAUGGAGAUGAUACACAAGAACAACAUUGGGAACUGGUUGACAGACCAGACCAAAAGAGAGUUAUUGGUCUGAAGUGGGUGUUUAUGGUUAAGUACAAUAUUGAUGGGUCUCUAAACAAACACAAGGCAAGACUUGUGGUGAAGGGAUACAGCCAACAGUAUGGCAUCGAUUUCAUAGAAACAUUUGCUCCAGUUGCAAGGUUAGUUACUAUAAGGCACUUGUUUUCCUUAGCUGCUCAAAAGAAAUGGAGAGUGAAUCAAUUGGAUGUUAAGUCUGCUUUUCUGAAUGGCUUCCUUAAGGAAGAAAUCUUCAUUGAACAACCAUAUGGGUUCAAGAUUCCUCAUGAAGAGAAUAAGGUCUACAAGCUGAAAAAGGCUUUGUAUGGUUUGAAGCAAGCACUAAGGGCCUGGUAUGACAGAGUUGGUGCAUAUCUGUCUAGGCUCAGUUUUGAGAAGAGUAUCAGUGAGCCUACUCUCUAUGUGAAGAAAUCAAAAAAUGAAACCCUGUUGAUUAUGUCACUUUAUGUAGAUGAUCUACUAGUAAUUGGAAGCGAGGGGAAGCUGAUUGAAGAGUUUAAAAUAUAGAUGCAAGAUGUCUUUGAAAUGAGUGACUUGGGGGAAAUGACUUACUUUCUUGGCAUGAAAGUGAAUCAGUUUGAUCAUGCCAUCUUCAUAAGUUAGCAAGCUUUUGCCAUAAAUAUUUUAAACAAAUUUUGCAUGUCAAAAUACAAAAUUUUUAGCACACCAGUGGCUCAAGGUGAAAAAGUAACCAACCUUGGCAACCAUGAAAGAGUUGAUGAGAAGGUGUAUAGAAGCCUUGUAGGUUGUCUACUCUACUUGACAGCUACAAGGCUUGAUAUCAUGUUUGUUGUUAGCCUUCUGUCCAGAUUCAUCCAUUGUCGCAAUGUUGUUCAUUUUAAGGCAGCCAAAAGAGUUCUUAGAUAUGUGAAAGGGACUUUGGAUUAUUGAGUGAAAUUUGGGAAGACAAACGAACUCAAGUUGAUAGGGUAUUCUGAUAGUGAUUGGGCAGGUCCAUUGAUGACAUGAAGAGCACAUCUGACUAUUUCUUCACUCUUGGCUAAGGUGUUUUUUGUUGGAGUUCAAAGAAACAACAAAUAGUUGCUUAAUCAAUAGCAGAAGCAGAGUGCAUUGCAGCUGCUGUAGCUGUUAAUCAAGCCAUUGGUUUAGGAAGCUCUUAUGUAAUUUGAAUGAAGAUCAAGUUGAAGCUACUAAUAUUAGAGUUGACAAUAAGUCAGCUGUUGCCAUAGCAAAAAAUUCAGUAUUUCAUGGCAAAACUAAGCAUUUUAAGAUUAAAUUUUAUUUUGUUAGAGAGGUUGAACAAUCAAAAGAAGUUAAUUCAAUUCAUUGCAGCUCAAAAAACCAGCUUGCCGAUAUUCUAACUAAGUCUCUCGGUGCUAUAAGAUUUGAGAACUUAAGAAGAAGUAUUGGUGUUUGUUGCAUAUAGUCCAAGGAGGAGUGUUGAACUUUGGCCUGCAAUGCAACAGCAGAGAAGCAUUGAAGCUCAACCAGCACAGCAGCAACAUUUUGUUCAUAUGCAACUAGCUUUAGUUCUUUUGUAAUUUGUAUUUAAAGUUAGUAAGAUUAGCAGAACUGGAUAUUGUCGUAUUUGAUUAUAAAAAGGUGUCGGCUGGAAUUUAAUUCUCAUUGAGUGUUUUUUUAUAAAAUAACUUGAAAAUUUUUAUUAAUUAUAAAAAUGAUAUUUUUUAUUAGGUAAUAAAUAAUAAAACUGAGUGAAAUUAAAGAGAUUAGUGCCACAUCAACCAAUCAUUAACUGUUAAAAUUAAAAAAAUUAUUUUUUGAAUGAAGCCAACCCAUAUCGCAUCAUUGCGGCAGAAAGCAAUAAAGUAUGCACUAAUCAAUUGUUUUUAAUUGCUAAUAUUUAGUGAUAAAAUAAUAUUUAAUUAUCGAAAUUUGAUAAUAGUAACGAAGUUGAAAAAGGUUUUACAAUUUAGUUUUGAAAUAUAUAUUUUUAUUGAAGUUAAACUGUAAUUUAAUUAUAUUGAUUUGUAAUUUUACAUUGUUUAAAGGGACUAGAUCAAUUUUUUAUUAUUUUGGAGGUCAAUAUGCAAUUUAACAUGUAAAAUUUCAACUUUCAAGGAGACUCAAAGCAUAAAUUAACAUUUUAGGGGACCAAGGUCUUGCCUACCCCUUGUCGCCACCCCUCAUUGGUAAUUUAACUACUUCGGCCUUUGAAUUUUUUUGUCUAAAUUUAUCCUGAAAUUUGAUAGUUUUUCCUAAUGUAGUCCUUGAACAUUGGUCUAUGCUACAUCUUAGAUUUUUUUUAAAAAAUUUUUUAAAUGAUGACAUGGUUUUUUAAUAGAAUUUAAGUUCAAGAAUUAAAUUUAAAAAAUUGUUAAGUUCAAAGGCUAAAUAUUACAUUAUCCUUAAUAUUUGUUACCCGGUUUUAGAAGUCCAUUGAAUUUCUUGCCUGUUUACUUUUGUUAUUAACCAUUGCUUUGUUCUUCUUUGUUUAAUUUUAGGUCCCAUAAUUGAAAAAAGAAUGGAUGAGAAAUUUCUAAAAUCAUUAGAAACAAGAAAAUAUGAUCUCAAAUCCAAUGAAGCAUUGAAGCUCAACUAGUACAGCAGCAACAUUUUGUUCAUAUGCAACUAGCUUUAGUUCUUUUGUAAUUUGUAUUUAAAGUUGGUAAGAUUAUUUGAUGAUGUGAAUGAUGUCCAAUGUGAUGUAAUAGCUGAUAUGUCAGCUACAUUUUUUGUGUAAUUUAAGCUUUGUUUUAGUCAAGUUAUUAGUGGGAGAAGUUGUGUAUUAAGAAACUGUCAUGUAACUUCUAUGUUUAUCUUAUUGAAAAAUGUAAAUGAAAUCAGUUUUCAGGUUUCAUUUUUGUUCAAUUCUCUUUGGAUCCGUUUCUUGCUUCUUUUCUCCUUUGUUUUCUGUCAAAACACCAACAAAAAUUCACAUGUAUACAAAUUAGGACAACGUAAGUGGUCACUGAACAGCCCUAUUUAAAGAAGAAUAUACCAAAAUAAGACAAACCUAAGACCUGAACACUGACCUCAUGUGCUGCAAAGCUAUAAGAUGUUCUGAAAUUACGAAAAUCUUGUUAACAUUAAUGGAAGACAAUUAAUAAUGGUUGCCAUUAACAUUAAUGGGAGACAAUCAAUAAUGACAACCACCAACUUUGGAAAAGUGGCAAGGGAUAAUUUUUUUUGGUCCUUGAGAUAAUGGGCUAUUUAUUGUUUGGUCCUUGAACCUCAACUAUAAAUAGGUCUUCUCAUUUCUCAUUUCAAUUCAUCCCAACCAAUCUUUCUCUCUUAGUUUUCUCUCUUCUCCCAUUUGAGAAUUCUUAAGGAAUUCUAUUUGUUUGUAAUACUUUGAAGAUAGUAAAGUUAUCAUCUGGUGUUAGUGCCCGAGGACGUAGGUAUAAUUUACCGAACCUCGUUAAAACUCUUGUGUUCUUUAUUGUCCUAUUUUUCUUUCAAUAUUUGAGGGUAUAAUAGUAGUAUUUAAUUGUGCUAUUAAAUUACUAUAGAAGGGAUAUUCUGUCUAAGGAAAGACUUGGUAUUUAAGAGAUCCAUGUGAUCCACCUCUCUUCCCUGGGAAUUGAACUUUGUGUGAUUUUUAGUACAAUAAUUUAUACGCUUCCAACCCUAUUGGAACUACAAGUGGUAUCAAGAGCCGAAGGUUAAUCGUAGUAUGCUCUGUGGUUGCAGUUUAAACUGAUCUUCCACAUCAGAAAAGAUUUCCUUAGGUAUAUUGAAAGAUUAUGGAGAAAACGGUCGGUGUAGGAGCUUCAACAUCGUCCAUGUGGACAAGACCGACAAUUGCAAAUGCAAGAUUGGCCGUAGAGAUCUUUGAUGGCACGGGCCAUUUUGGUAUGUGGCAAAGUGAGGUUCUAGAUGCCCUUUUUCAGCAGGGUCUAGACAUUGCCAUUGAUGAAGAGAAACCAGAUGAUGUACAGGAGAAAGAUUGGAAAGCGAUCAAUCGGUUGGCAUGUGGCACAAUUCGAUCAUGCCUUUCUCGAGAGCAGAGGUAUGCUUUUUCAAAAGAGACUUCUGUAAAUAAGUUGUGGGUGGCACUUGAAGAUAAUUUUUUGAAGAAAAACAGUCAAAAUAAGCUCCACUUGAAGAAAAGACUGUUUCGCUUCACAUACGUCCCAAGUACCACAAUGAAUGAUCACAUCACCAAAUUUAAUCAGUUAGUCACUGAUUUGCUGAAAAUGGAUGAGACAUUCAAAGAUGAAGAUUUGGCUUUGAUGCUGUUGGGGUCACUUCCUGAGGAGUUUGAGUUCCUAGAAACUACUCUACUUCAUGGCAGGAGUGAUAUAUCUCUGAGCGAAGUCUGUGCGGCCUUAUACAGUUACGAACAGAGAAAGAAGGACAAACAGAAAAACUCAAUCAGAGAUACAGAAGCUUUAGUAGUCCGAGGUCGUUCAUACACUCGGAAGAAAACUCAAAAUGGGAGAUCAAAGUUAAAGUCCAGACUCGGGAAAGAUGAAUGUGCUUUUUGUCAUGAGAAAGGCCACUGGAAGAAAAAUUGUCCAAAGCUGAAGAAUAAGGGAGAAGCUGCUGUAGAUGCUUGUGUUGCUAAGCAUGAUACUAGUGACUCUGAACUAUCACUGGUUGCAUCAUCAUCGUCAUUCCAUUCAGAUGAGUGGAUAUUGGAUUCGGGUUGUACCUAUCAUAUGUCCCCUAACCGGGAGUGGUUCUCUGAUUUAGUAGAACUAAAUGGAGGAGUUAUUUAUAUGAGCAAUGACAAUGCCUGUAAAACUGUUGGGAUAGGUUCAAUCCAAUUAAAGAAUCAAGAUGGAUCAACCAGAGUUCUGACUGAUGUUCGGUACGUUCCCAGUUUGAAGAAAAAUCUCAUCUCAUUGGGAGCCUUGGAAUCCAAUGGUUCAGUUGUUACUAUGAGAGAUGGGAUUUUGAAAGUGACAUCUGGCGCACUUGUGAUAUUGAAGGGCAUCAGGAAAAAUAACUUGUAUUACUACCAAGGUAGUACAGUUAUUGGAGCAGUCGCUACAGCUUCCGGUAACAAAGAAUUGGACUCAAUGCAGUUGUGGCAUAUGAAGUUGGGACAUGCCAGCAAAAAAUCCUUGCAAAUUCUGGCAAAGCAAGGAUUGUUGAAAGGUGCAAAGGCUUGCAAAUUAAAAUUUUGCGAGCAUUGUGUUCUGGGAAAGCAAAAGAGAGUGAAAUUCGGUACUGCUAUCCAUAAUACAAAAGGUAUUUUGGAAUAUGUUCACUCAGAUGUGUGGGGGCCUUCCAAGACACCUUCAUUGGGAGGAAAACACUACUUUGUUACUUUUGUUGAUGACUUUUCCAGAAGAGUUUGGGUGUAUACCAUGAGAACUAAGGAUGAAGUGCUUAGAGUUUUUUCUUAAAUGGAAAACUAUGAUCGAAAACCAGACUGGCAAGAAAAUCAAGCGGCUUAGGACGGACAAUGGAGGGGAAUAUAAAAGUGAUUCGUUCUUCGAUGUGUGCCAAGAGUAUAGUAUUGUUCGACACUUCACAGUUAGGGAUACACCACAACAGAAUGGAUUGGCAGAGCGUAUGAAUCGAACAUUGCUAGAGAAAGUUCGAUGUAUGUUGUCCAAUGCUGGGUUGGGCAAGCAAUUUUGGGCUGAGGCUGUGACAUACGCUGGCCAUCUUGUUAAUCGUUUGCCAUCAUCUGCAUUAGAAAGAAAAACUCCUAUAGAGGUAUGGUCUGGAAAACCGGCUACAGAUUAUGAUUCCUUACAUGUGUUUGGAACCACUGCAUAUUACCAUGUGAAGGAGUCAAAGUUAGAUCCGAGGGUAAAGAAAGCUCUCUUUAUGGGAAUCACUUCUAGAGUGAAGGGAUUUCGUCUUUGGUGCUUAAGCACAAAGAAAAUGAUCUGUAGCAGAGAUUUUACCUUUGAUGAAUCUGCCACAUUGAAAAAGGUAGCAGAUAAAGAUAUUCAGACGAGCAAUACUCCACAGCAGGUGGAGUGUACUCCAAAACAGGUGGAGUUUGAGCAGAUGAGGAUUUGCCCAGUUAAUAAGUCUAAUUCUCCAGCCACAAUAGAGGAAUUAGAGGUUGAAGAGGUUCUGACCCAAGAACCACUAAGUACACCAGAACCAGUUGCAGUUGCAAGGCCACGGAGAGAAAUUCGUAAACCUGCUCGAUUUACUGAUAUGGUGGCCUACGCCCUUCCCGUUGUUGAUGAUAUUCCUAUCACUUAUCAAGAAGCAAUGCAAAGCUUAGAAAGUGAUAAAUGGAAAAGCGCCAUGGAUGAAGAAAUGCAGUCUCUCCGAAAGAACAAUACUUGGGAGUUGGCGCAAUUACCGAAAGGUAAAAGGGCAAUCGGAUGCAAGUGGGUAUUCGCAAAGAGAGAUGGAUCUCCUAGCAAGAAGGAUAUUCGCUACAAGGCAAGAUUGGUAGCUAAAGGCUACGCUCAGAAGGAGGGAAUUGACUACAAUGAUGUAUUUUCCCCUGUUGUGAAGCAUUCCUCCAUUAGAAUUUUGUUGGCCUUGGUAGCACAGUUGAAUUUGGAGCUAGCUCAACUUGAUGUUAAGACGGCUUUCUUGCAUGGUGAGUUAGAAGAGGAGAUCUAUAUGACUCAGCCCGAAGGAUACACAGAUGCUGGUGGUAGAAAUUGGGUUUGUAAGCUUAACAAAUCGCUAUAUGGAUUGAAGCAAUCCCCGAGGCAGUGGUACAAGCGAUUUAAUAGCUUUAUGAGAAGGCAAAAGUACACAAGAAGCAAAUAUGACAAUUGUGUGUAUUUGCAGAAGCUGCAUGACGGAUCUUUCAUUUAUCUACUCUUGUAUGUUGAUGAUAUGUUAAUCGCUUCGAAGAGCCAAAAAGAGAUAGAUAAGCUGAAGGCUCAGUUGAAUCAAGAGUUCGAGAUGAAAGAUCUAGGUGAGGCCAAGAAGAUUCUCGGCAUGGAGAUAAGUAGAGAUAGACAGAGAGGCAAGCUUUGUUUGAAUCAGAAGCAAUAUCUGAAAAAGGUAUUACAAUGUUUUGGUGUAAAUGAAAACACAAAACAUGUAAGUACCCCACUUGUUUCUCAUUUGAAACUUAGUGCUCAAUUAUCUCCGAAAACUGAAGAAGAAAGAGAAUAUAUGGCAAAAGUCCCAUAUGCUAAUGCAGUUGGGAGUUUGAUGUAUGCGAUGGUGUGUACGCGGCCUGACAUUUCACAAGUUGUUGGAGUUGUGAGCAGGUAUAUGCAUGAUCCUGGAAAAGGACAUUGGCAAGCUGUGAAAUGGAUUCUACGGUAUCUUCGAAAAACCGUAGAUGUUGGUUUAAUUUUUGAACAGGAUGAAGCACUUGGUCAGUUUGUAGUUGGAUAUGUUGAUUUCGACUUUGCUGGUGAUUUAGAUAAACGUCGUUCAACUACGGGGUAUCUGUUUACUCUUGCGAAAGCCCUAGUGAGUUGGAAGUCUACCUUACAGUCUACAGUAGCUGUGUCUACUACAGAGGCAGAAUAUAUGGCAGUUACAGAAGCUGUUAAGGAGGCUAUUUGGCUUAAUGGAUUGUUGAAAGACUUAGGAGUUGUUCAAAGUCACAUAAGUUUAUAUUGUGACAGUCAGAGCGCUAUUCAUUUAGCGAAAAAUCAAGUCUAUCAUUCAAGAACCAAGCAUAUCGACGUAAGAUAUCACUUUGUGCGGAAAGUCUUUGAAAAAGGAAAAAUUCUACUUCAGAAGAUUCCGACAGCAGAUAAUCCCGCAGAUAUGAUGACCAAGGUGGUAACAACAAUCAAGUUUAAUCAUUGUUUGAACUUGAUUAACAUCCUGAGAAUUUGAGCACCUUCAGGUGUAUGGCGCUCGAGAGCGCAUUUGUAGGCACUACAAAAGAUAGCUUUAUCGAAUUUGGGGAGUUGAAGGAAGUGUGUGAAGAUGUGAUUAUCCUAAUCAAAUCUUCAAGGUGGAGAUUGUUAACAUUAAUGGAAGACAAUUAAUAAUGGUUGCCAUUAACAUUAAUGGGAGACAAUCAAUAAUGACAACCACCAACUUUGGAAAAGUGGCAAGGGAUAAUUUUUUUUGGUCCUUGAGAUAAUGGGCUAUUUAUUGUUUGGUCCUUGAACCUCAACUAUAAAUAGGCCUUCUCAUUUCUCAUUUCAAUUCAUCCCAACCAAUCUUUCUCUCUUAGUUUUCUCUCUUCUCCCAUUUGAGAAUUCUUAAGGAAUUCUAUUUGUUUGUAAUACUUUGAAGAUAGUAAAGUUAUCAUCUGGUGUUAGUGCCCGAGGACGUAGGUAUAAUUUACCGAACCUCGUUAAAACUCUUGUGUUCUUUCUUGUCCUAUUUUUCUUUCAAUAUUUGAGGGUAUAAUAGUAGUAUUUAAUUGUGCUAUUAAAUUACUAUAGAAGGGAUAUUCUGUCUAAGGAAAGACUUGGUAUUUAAGAGAUCCAUGUGAUCCACCUCUCUUCCCUGGGAAUUGAACUUUGUGUGAUUUUUAGUACAAUAAUUUACAUGCUUCCGACCCUAUUGGAACUACAAAUCUUUGUUCUUUCAUUGGGUUUCUUAUCUUCCUUUUACACAAUUAAAAACCCAUAUAUAAUUUUAAAAAUACUUUCAGGCUUCUUUGUCUUGCUAAUUUCUGUAGAAAAUUACUGGUCUAUCACUGCCCCAAAGGUUCCAGCAUUUGAAGCACAAGAUAUUGGCACAUCAUAUAAGUUCUAAAUUUGUCACCAACAACUGACAAAACUGAGUAGAAUUACAUUAAUUAUGCUUAACAUUACACUUCAGGCAUACAUGCAAUUAAAAGUAAAAUCGAAAUAACACUAAACAUACUCGGAGUCGGAGGUGAAGAGGCGGUUGAAAGAGCGCGGAUUAAAGAGAAGAGGACUGGCGAGGUGGCGGGUAUUGAGGGCAAUGGAUGAGUGUUUUGAGGUGGGUUUUGAAAGAGCGUCUGAGGGAAAGCGAUAGAAACAUGGUGGAAGAAAGGAAGAGUUAAUGGAAGGAAAAUUUUAGGGUUUUGUUCUUUGUAUGAGAUCAUUUCAUAGAAUUGAUUAAGAAAGGAAGCAUCUAAGGAAGGAAAGGAGCUUAUUAGUGUUGUUUUCCGGUUUGGAUGUUUGGUUUAUUUUAUUAUUCAAAAUUAAUUUUUUUAAAACAAUGAAACAAGUUAUUUGAACCAGAUGGGUUUGAGACUAGGUUUGAUUUUUCUUUCUAGAGUCAGAACAUAGGCUUGAUGUAUGAAUACUUUUAAUUACAAUUGUAUUUGAGCUGUGAUGAUAUUCAACUAAAGCCCUCUCAAUAAUAAUAACUCUAAAUUUAAACUUAAAAAUAACUUUGAGCUAAUCUUGAUCGAUUACUCCAAUCACACAACACGAAUAACUAAAGCUUCCUCAACCUCAACAAAUGUUAUAGUGUCAAGAUUGAACAAACUGUCUCCUAGUACCCUAUUGAUUAGGCAACUUUGAUGUUGAACAUCCCACAAAAACAUGAAAAAAAGAAAAGAAAAAGAAUCACAAUUAUAUUUAACUCAUGCAACAAGUUUCACCUUUUUUUUUGUGAGAAAAAGAUCAAGCCACUAUUAGGGAGUCUUGGGCUUCUAGUUGAAGCCUGUGAAUCAUUAGAAUAAGAAAAUUCAUGUAAUGCUUAUUGCCAAAUCACAAUCUCGUCAGAAUUGAGGUUUUUCAAAAACAAAACAAUUAACAAAUAUUUAUGGCCUGAAACCUUAACCUACCCUAAUAGAAAGGUAAAAGAACAAUGUGCUCAAUGGAUUUCACUUCUUCCCCACACCUCGGUCAAUGAGGAUCCACCUCCUUAAACAUUUUGGCAAUGUUUUGUUUAGUAGUAACACAUUGUGGCAAGACCUCCUAAGGAGAUUUUUGAUAUUUAUUAUCACAUUAAGCUCUCAUGAAUGAUUUAAACCUUUCUAAGACAAAUCAUUGUUAGCAUUUUAUCCGUUUGGGGCCGCAUAUGAGAGAGGUAGAGAAAAGAGUCACUCGUACCCAUAUCAAAUGUUGUAAGAUUCAUCUUCCGAAAAAUGCCACACAAAUUUAUCUCGCUUAGUAGGGGACCUAAUAAGGAUUUUCUCAAUAACCUUAUGUUUAUUUUGGCUAAAACAUUGUUGUAGUAAAUCGCUCUUCCAAAUCCACAAGUCCAGAUCAAUCAGGUCCUUAAACAAAAUAAGGCUUAUCUCAAAGGAGGAAAGGAUGGAAUAUAUUCAAAAAGAUUACAAGUCGAGGACCCAUUGAUCAUGUGAAACCAUAAUGUCCUAGUCACUUUUGAAUUCAAUUUGGUUGCAAGAUUUUUAGUUAAAUUAAUAAUUCAAAAUUUUAGUAGGUAUCUUUCAUGUCUGAUGUACGAUUUUUGAAGACUAAUCUUUUUAGGAUUCGUGGUUACCCCUUCCAACGAUAUUAUUAUAUCUAAGGUUUAAAUAUGAAUUUUUUUCUUAGGAAUACAAUAUGCCUCCCCUUCUCAAUUUUUGUUCAUUGUUAAUUGAUCAUUUAAAUAGGAAUGCAUUUGUUUUAAACCUUGGUAAUUAGUUGGGUCUAGUGAACUUUAGGAGCUUAUUCUAUGCAUGUAACUCCCAACAUCCAUUCUUAAGAAUUCGAUGAUUGAAAUAUUUGGUUUCAAAAUUACUUCAAUUGUAAUUAUUACUUGAUUGUGGUACAAAAUUUUUGUUACAAUGUUUAGAACUAUUUACAACUCCUCCUUAACAUUUAAUAAAAGGAUAAAGGCACUUUAGCACGCUUCAACCCACAUAUCCUUCUAUACUAACAACAAUGUUGAUACUAAAUUAAAACUCAAUUUAACAAUUGUACAUAUUUUUAGGUUAAAUAAAUUUUAAGUACACAUAUUGCUGUUGUGAUGUAAGUAUUUAGGAUAAAUCACUGCAUUGUUAGACAAAUUGACCCAGACUAUAAAUUGUAUAUACAAACAAAAUUAAAGAGCAUUGGUAAAAUGUACAAAAAAAAUUGAGUAACAUUCAAUAUUUAUAAUAAAUAAAACACAAAUAUAAUAUACAAAGCUUUGAUGCCUUGAAUCUUUAGGGCUCUUCAAGCAGCCUUUAAUUUUUGUGAUUGGAUGAGUCUUGGCUGCCGCAAAUUGAAGAAGAAAAAUAUAUAAAAGCAUUUCAGAACAAAUACACACAAAAUAAGCUUCUGCAUGUAAGAAACUUAUAUAAGUUCGUUUCGGGUUUCACAAGUUUAAUCUUUUUAAGUUUGAGAUUUUAAUUUUUGAAUUGCAUCAUUACUAAUAAAAUUAUUUUAAGUAUAAAUUAUUCAGAUUAUUUUGAAUUCAAAUAAAUGUUUUGUUUGAAUCAAUUUAUAUUUGGGCCAAUAAUAAAUGGGUUUAAAUAGCUGAUUUUUUAUGGUCAAAGUGAGUUAAUUAGUUAAAUUUUCGGAUUCAUGUUAGAAUUGACACAUUUAAUUAAAAAUAUUUAAGCAUUAAAAUAAUCAAAAAGUCCCUAAGUUCAACUUACGGACGAAAAUUUAUAUUUUUACUUAGACUUCCCGAUUUUUUCAAAUUCUUAAUUAAGCCUCACAAUAAGUAUUGAAAUUUUCAAAAUUUUCAAAAUUUUCAAAACUUGCCUUUAAUUUUCUCAAAAUUCUUGAUUAAAUCUCUUAAAUUUUAUUUUCGAAAAAAGAAUUUCAUUAAACACAAAAAAUUAAAUAGAUUGAAUCCAACAUCUAGGAGUUACAAAAUUCUCAUAAAUAACAAGAGUUUACAAAAAGACUAGUAAACAAAACUUACUUUUGUUGAUGUAUAGCAUAAUAAGUCUGCAAAGCACCAAGCAAAAGUGCAGUAAUGGCACCCACAAAUGCCAAAAACGUCCAAGGACUCCUAAAAUAAGUAUGAUAACCUUGAGCUGCAUGCUUAAUCCACGUAGUCUUACAAUGAUCAUGUAUUUUCCGUUUAACCCCACUGUAAAUCGGACUAGGAACCAAAUCAGUGUUCAUCUUAUUGAAAAGCUUAGCCACUUCUUCAUCACUCCCCAAUCUAUUGUAUAGUAUGCCGGCGUCUCUCAGGUCUUUAACAUCUUCGGCUUCAUCAAUCAAUAAAUCAAGGAAACACAUAUAUGAAGUGACGGUGAAAUCGUUGUCGAAAUCCGGACACAUUUCGUAAGCUAUUAAGUUCAUGGUUGAAUCAUCGACGGAGAUCGGCGGUAAACAUAAUUUUCCGACGAAUAAGAUACGGUUGAAACUGAUGUCGGUUAAACAACUUGUUUCGCUGGCUUUUAACGAUAUCCCGACUUUUUUAAGCUCUUUUACGUUAUGAAUGGUGUGUGAAUGGCACCAUUUUGUUCCUUCUUCUUUUCUACGUUCUUGUUCAUUUGAACACGGAAAACCCCACCGCCGUGGUUUUUCUUUUUUGAAAAGGAGUCUUACUCGUAGUAGAUGCAAUAAGUGAAUUCGCUCUCCUUGCUUCUACUUCCGCCACCAUUCAUCGGAGCAAAAUCUGUAUCAGUCGAAGCAAACCUAUAAAUUUUUUUGGGGUAAAUUACACUAACAGUCACUCAACUUUGGGGUAGCUAACAAAACAGUCACUCAAGUUUCAGUUCAGUCACUGAACUUCUAAAAAAUAACAAAAUAGACACUAAUGUUAUUGAAAAGUGAUAAAUCAGUCACUCAUUAACAAUUGUCAUCACAGGCUUAAUGUGGUCAAUUAACUAGUUGAUGUGACUAGUUAACUUGCCAUGUUGGACAAGUAGUCAAAGGGUCAAAAAGAAAAAAAGAUGAUUAGUUAAGGGUAAAAAGAAAAAUAAGAGAAAUGGAGAAGAAGAAGAAAAGGAGGAAGAAGGGAAAAUGGAAGUCAAAGGGUCAAAAAGAAAAGAAAAGAUGAUUGGUUAAGGGUAAAAAGGAAAAUAAGAGAAAUGGAAAAGAAGAAGAAAAGAAGAACAGGGUAGGAAGAAGGGAAAAUGGAAGGAGCUUCCAAGCUUCAUACCAACGAUUCCCAAGGGUCAAAAUCUGGGAAUUUGGAUUUUGAUCCUUGGGAAUUACUGUUACGAAGUCCUUCCAUUUUCUCCUCUUCUUCUUUUCUUCUUUUUCUCCAUUUCUUCUCUUAUUCUUCUUCUUUUUUUUGUUCUUCUACUGCCCAAACUUCUUAAAUGGGUUUGUUUAAAUGACAGCUAGCCUACCCUUAAAUGUCAUGUCACUUUUUCGUUACGUCUGUAACGAAAAAUGGUUAAAAAGACUGUUUUGUCAGCUACCCCAAAGUUGAGUGAUUAUUGCUAUAAUUUACCCUAUUUCUUAUUUGAAAUUGUAAAUUUUUAACCAGCUAAAUUUAAGGUUUUCAAAACCCAACUCGUUAAGUUAUCGAUUUAUAAUUCUAAUUGGUCUAAUGAAUUCAUCCGAUUAAUUAAAUUAAUUAUUAAAAAUUUUCCAUUUGAUUGCCCAAUUCAAUUAAUUUUUUUUGGUUCAACCUGUUCAUAUAGAUUCUCAAAUCAAUUGGUCCAAUGACUUCCUUCAGACUAAUACCUUAAUUAAUUUCCAAUCCAAAUCGAUUCAAAUAAUAUUGGCUAAAAUACAAUUUUUAUUAUUUUAUUAAUGCAAAAAUUUUACCAUUUUAAAGAUAUUAAAAUAUAAAAUUUCUAUUUUAAAAAGUUGGAUUUGAAAUCAUAAUUUUUUUUCUAAAGAAAUGUACACUCAACAGGACCAAAGGAAUUGGCAGGGAAAUUUUGUUUUAUGGACCGUUUUCAUCACAAAUGAUCUUAUCAAAUUAAAAGAGGAUAGAUCAUCUUUUUUUUCAUAUCAUAUAUACAUUGGGACUAAACUUCCAAAUAAAAAAUAAUGUGUCUUUUUUUAAUUGAGUGGGACCAUAGAUGAUGUGGUGAAAAUGGUCCAUUAAAUAAUUUAUCACAAGCAAGAGUAAUUCCAAAAAUAGAAAAUUACAUUUUAAUUCUUUAAAAAUUAUUAAAUUAUAAAUUUAUAUAUAAUAAAAUUACACUUUGACCCUCAAAAUGGAAAAAAUAUUUUGUUCAGUCUUUUUAAAAAAAUAUGAACUUAUAAAUCAAUACAUGAAAAAAUUUAAGGAUUCGACAAAACUUAUCGGUCAGGCUAGUUGUUGAGAAAAUUGAACAAGGUAUUGAUCCAGAAUAAGAGAUUAGAUUAGAUGAAUUGAGUCAUCGAAUGGAUUUUCUUUAUAUGUUUAAUAUAUCUUUAAUAUUUUCAAAAACUUAUAUAACUGAAUCGAAUAAACUAAUCAAUCAAAAUUAAGAGUAAUCAAUGUAAAAACCUUUUAACAUUUAUAACCUCGACAAAAUGAUUUUUUUAUUUAUUUUUAAAUUCCUUAAAUUACCUGUCCUCGGCUGGGGUGAUAACAGUGUCGUCGAUGAACCUUAUGAUUGCAUUCAUGAACUGUUCGCCAUCACUCGAGCUAGUAAGCAAUUCAAGAACACGAAAAGGUAUUUGGUUCUCCAACAAUAACAGAUCCGAGUACACAAAUGUAAGCAAAUCGUUUUUAAUAAACUGGCCAUAAAUUUUACAAAUAUCAUCACCGUAACGCAUAUAAACUGCUUGUAAAAUUGCGCAGCCGUCAACGAAGAACAUCCAAGCCAGUUUCUCGUCAUCGUCGCUAUACUUCUCUAAUUCCUGUGGAUCAUAGCAUUUCUUUAAGUCAUCGAUCGCUUUUUUCAUGUUGCUGUACAAGGAAUCCUUAUCGACCUUAAUGUUUUUGACGAAAUGUGCUGCUAAUUUGAGCUUGAGCUCCUUGGAUUCCUGGAGGGUGCGAUCAUCGUGGUGGAGUGGGCCGAUUGAGAUCACUUUCGGCCAGAAAUACUUCUUGAAAUCUUUGUUACGGCGAAGGGUUGAUGGGACUUUUCGGAUCAAUAGAUUGGAUUUGAAUUUGGGUUGGCCGCCCUCGAAAGCUUCGUCUAAUUUUUCGAGAUUCGCUAAUUCGCCACUGCUGAGUUGGACGUCGCCACUGCUGAGAGGGACGUCCGUGCACCGCAUAUCAAUGCUCACGGAAUCGUUGUUGGUGUUGUUGUUGAUGGUUGUUUGAUCAGUGGAAACUGCUCCGACGGCGCCGCCUCCUUCCUCCGUGGACGACAUUUUCAGGGUGAGCGGUUGGAAGUAAUAAACAAGGUGAUUUUGUAAACUGUUCUUGGCUGAGUGAGUGAUGUCGGAGAAAAGGUGGCAAAAUGGCUACGAUGAUGACAAAUAUUUUAUAGCUUACAUAAUAAACAAAUAUGGGAAAUACUUGAGGUGUAAUUUAAAUUUACCCCUUAGUGUUUAUAUUUUUACUAAUAUAAUUUUUAACUUUUAAUUUUUUAAUUAAAUUUAAUUUUCUUUUGAAAGAGUCAAUCUUAAAAAAGAAAAGUUAAAUUAAUGUUUUUUUAACAAAAAUAGUGACAAAUAUAAUAAUUGUCCUUAAGAAGCUAAGACCCUAUGAUUGGGACAUUUACAACACUUAAUAAAUUUCAUACACUUAAAAAUAGCUCCAUGCUUCUUUACAUAUAAUAAUUGCAUUUGUUAUUCUACCUAACUCUUGAAAAAUCUCAAAUUUGCAACCACAUAUUAUUCACAUGCCAACCAACCAAUUUAUUACCCACAUGCCAACCAUUUUUUUUAUUGAAGUUAUUGUACUUAUAACCUUUCACAUAUAACUAUGCUUCUUUAGAUAUGCUAAUUGCAUUUAUUGUUGUACCUCACUCGUGAAAAAUCUCAAACUUGCAACAAAAUAUUAUUCACAUGCCAACCAACCACUUUUUUUAUUGAAGUUAUUAUACUUAUAAGCUUUAUGCUUAUUGUAACACUCUAUGUUUGAUUCGAUCUACAGGACACUAUAGUUAUUGUCAGAGCAACUACAGUCAGAAUUACGAAAAGAUAAUUUGUAUUUAACAUCAAUCAUGAUGCAAUUACAGUAACACAUCAAUUAUGAGCUUUAAUCGAGCUUACGAAAGCUUUUUUGGCAGUUCGAGCAAGAAUUAGGACCAAACAGUAAAGAUUUGAAAAGUUUGGAGCGACUUCGUGACUUCAGCUUUUUCUCAUCGCAACAUGACCAUCUCAGUGUGUCACAUCAUAACGAAAAGCCUAUGCUCAUCACAACGAGACUCUCUGACUUGACAAUGUCACAAUGUCAAGAUUUGUAGUCGUGACGUGGACCCUAUAUUUGGCAAAAAUAUACAAUUUGGUACCUAAUUCAAUGCUCCAACUAAAAUCAUGCAAGAAAAAUACAUUACAUGCCAUUUCUAAAUAACUUAAAACUUACCUAAAACAUGCUAAGUAAGUUCAAACAUAUCAUUUCAAUUCCAUAGCAAUUCAUAUUACCAUUUCAUCAUUUAUAUUCAACUUUUCAAUAACUUACACUAAAUAUCAACAAGUUAUACAAACAUCUACCAUUACCUUUAUCAUGCCAUAAUGAAUCAUUCCAUUUCAAACAAUCAUCACAUUAGUUCUUUUAUUUUUCUUUUUUAGUCAACAUAUGAAAACCAACUUAGAUAGAUCACAUUCCAACUUUCCAAAUGCAUCAAAUAUUUCAUAUUCAUGUACUAACAAAGAUCAUGCCAAGAACCCACAUGCAAAGUCAUUAUAUACCACAUUUAACUCAACAAGACUUUUACACAACCAAAGAUUACUCCAAACGUUUAUAUGCAUGUCGCAAUCCUUGACUCAAAGAUAAUAAAAAAAACCGAAUUGACAAUAGAAUAGUGUAAGCUUCAAACGAUCCAACCGACAUGUUCCACAAUGUAACAACCUAAAAGGAAAAAGAAAACAAUGGGGUAAGCAUAUAAGAUGCUUAGUAACUCAUAUGUAAUCUAAACCUUACCUAGAUUAAUUGAACAUAAACAAUUACUCAAUAAGCUAUCAAAUUUAUUUUUCCAUGGCACUUAGAUAUCGUACAUGUAACAAUAUUUCAAGUCGAAAAUGUUAAAUACAAUGUUGAAUCAUUAUGUCUUCUUUUCGUAAGUUUCACUUAUAGAAAUACAAUAUAGGUUCAAGUACAAAUAUAUGUCUCGAUUAAUCUAGAAAGAACUAGACAAAAUCCACACAUGAUAAACGCAUAUAAUGAGUGUGAGACUCACACAUCACAAUUGAGAAUAAUAUUAUAGAACCAAAAUACUCAACAACCCAAAACCUUUGCGUUAACCAAGAAGCUAAGACCCUAUCAGAGGGAGAAUUUUAUAUCUACAACACUUAUUAAAUUUCAUUAGCUUAAUAAUAUAUAUUCAAAUAUUUAACAUUGUAACCAUGCUUCUUUUCAUAUAGUAAUUGCAUUUGUUAUUCUACCCAACUUAUGAAAAAUCUCAAAUAUAUAUUUUCAUUUUAUUACUUAAAUUAUUAUUACUUACUUUAAUAUUUAAAUUAUCAUUAUAUUACAUGAUUUGUUCCAAAUAUUUAACAUUGUAACGAUGCUUCUUUAAAUAUAGUAAUUGCAUUUGUUAUUCUACCUAACUCAUGAAAAAUCUCAAAUUUGCAACAUGUUAUUCACAUGCCAACCAACCAAUUUAUUAUUCACAUUCCAACUUUCUAAAUGCAUCAAAUAUUUCAUAUUCAUGUACUAACAAAGAUCAUGCCAAGAACCCACAUGCAGAGUCAUUAUAUACCACAUUUAACUCAACAAGACUUUUACACAACCAAAGAUUACUCCAAACGUUUAUAUGCAUGUCGCAAUCCUUGACUCAAAUGAUAAAAAAAACACCAAAUUGACAAUAAAAUAGUGUAAGCUUUGAACGAUCCAAUCGACAUGUUCCACAAUGUAACACCUAAAAGGAAAAAGAAAACAAUGGGGUAAGCAUAUAAGAUGCUUAGUAAACUCAUAUGUAAUCUAAAACUUACCUAGAUUAAUUGAACAUAAACAAUUACUCAAUAAGCUAUCAAAUUUAUUUUUCCAUGGCACGUAGAUAUCGUAUAUGUAACAACAUUUCAAGUCGAAAAUGUUAAAUACAAUGUUGAAUCAUUAUGUCUUCUUUUCUUAAGUUUCACUUAUAGAAAUACAAUAUAGGUUCAAGUACAAAUAUAUGUCUCGAUUAAUCUAGAAAGAACUAGACAAAAUUCACAUAUGAUAUAGGCAUAUAAUGAGUGUGAGACUCACACAUCACAAUUGAGAAUAAUGUUAUAGAAAACCUUUGCGUUAAGCAAGAAGCUAAGACCCUAUCGGAGGGAGAAUUUUAUAUCUACAACACUUCUUAAAUUUCAUUAGCUUAAUAAUAGCUAUUCAAAUAUUUAACAUUGUAACCAUGCUUCUUUUCAUAUAGUAAUUGCAUUUGUUAUUCUACCCAACUUAUGAAAAAUCUCAAAUUUGCAAUUUAUUAUUCACAUGCCAAACAACCAAUUUAUUAUUCCAACCAACCAAUUUAUUAUUCACGUGCCAACCAAUUUGUUUUAUCGAAGUUAUUAUACUUAUAAGCUUUCACAUAUAACCAUGCUUCUUUACAUAUAUUAAUUGCAUUUAUUGUUGUACCUCAUGAAAAUUUUCAAAUUUGCAACAACAUAUUAUUCGCAUGCCAACCAACCACUUUUUUUUAUUGAAGUUAUUAUACUUAUAAGCAUUCACAUUUAACCAUGCUUCUUGUAACACUUUUCAUUGGAUCCAAUCGUUGGGUCCGAUCUACAAGACGCUAUAGUCAUUGUCAAAGCAACUACAGUCGAAAUUACGAUAAGAUAAUUUUCAUUUAAACAUUAAGCAAGAUUCAACUACAGUAAUACAUUAAUUAUGAGUUUUAAUCGAGCUUACAAAAGCUUUUUUGGUAGUUCGAACAAGAAUUAGGACCAAACUAUAAAGAUUUGAAAAGUUUGGAGCGACGUCACAACUUCAGCUUUUCCUCAUCGCAACAUGACCAUCUCAGUAUGUCACAUCAUAUCGAAAAGCCUAUGCUCGUCGUGGCGAGACUCUUUGACUUGGCAAUGUCGCAAUGUCAAAAUUUGUAGCCGUUAUGUAAACCCUAUAUUUGACAAAAAUAUACAAUUUGGUACCUAAAUCAAAGCUCCAACUAAAAUCAUGCAAGAAAAAUACAUUACAUGCCAUUUCUAAAUGACUUAAAACUUACCUAAAACAUGCUAAGUAAGUUCAAACAUAUCAUUUCAAUUCCAUAGAAAUUCAUAAAACUUACCUAAAACAUGCUAAGUAAGUUCAAACAUAUCAUUUCAAUUCCAUAGCAAUUCAUAUUACCAUUUCAUCCAUUGUAUUCAACUUUUCAAUAACUUUAACUAAAUAUCAACAAGUUAUACAAACAUCUACCAUUACCUUUAUCAUGCCAUAAUGAAUCAUUUCAUUUCAAACAAUCAUCACAUUAGUUCUUUAAUUUUUCUUUUUUAGUCAACAUAUGCAAACCAACUUAAAUAGAUCACAUUCCAACUUUCCAAAUGCAUCAAAUAUUUCAUAUUCAUGUACUAACAAAGAUCAUGCCAAGAACCCACAUGCAAAGUCAUUAUAUACCAAAUUUAACUCAACAAGACUUUUACACAACCAAAGAUUACUCCAAAUGUUUAUAUGCAUGUCGCAAUCCUUGACUCAAAUGAUAAAAAAAAACUACCAAUUUGACGAUAAAAUAGUUUAAGCUUAAAACGAUCCAACUGACGUGUUUUUUUUUUUGCUCAAUCAAGAUAUUAUAGCUUUCAGCAUUUGUAGAAAUGCUAGCAUUCUACAAAUACAAGAUAACCCUUUCCCAAGAUCAGCAAACCGAGCACAAUCAAGUUGAGCCGACGUGUUCUGCAAGGUAACAACCUAAAAGAAAAAAAGAAACAACGGGAUACGCAUAUGAUAUGUUUAGUAAGCUCAUAUGGAAACUAAAACUUACCUAGAUCAAUUGAACAUAAAAAAUUACUCAAUAAGCUAUUGAAUUAAUUUUUCCUUGGCACUUAUAUACAUAUAGUACAUGUAACAACAUUUCUGUUAAAGAAAAGUAAUUUGACUUUUUUUCUGAAAAGUUAAUGGCUAAAUUUAGCUCAAAUAAAAAAGAAAAAACAAAAGCCAAUUUGGCAGAAAAUAUAAAUAUUGAGGAUAAAAUUUAUCAUUAUGUCUUUUUUUUUUAAGUAAUUAUUUGUGGUGGGCCAUCAUGUUUGACAAUGAUUUUUAAAUACUGUGUUAAUUGUAUAUAGCACAUCAUGUUUGACAAUAAUUUUUAAAGACUUUUAAACAUCGCGUUAAUUGUUUAUGGCCCAUUGCCCAUAUUGCUUUUAUUAAAUUUUGGGUAAACUUCAAGUUAAUCAUUUAAUUUUUAUAAAAUUUCACUUUGGUGAAAAAAAAAUUGUAUGGGAUGGGAGUCUCAGGAUAAAACAAAAAUUAGGAUAAAUGUAAUGCUGAAAUGAAUAUACUGGGAAUCUUUAAUGUUUAUGGCCAAACCCCACCUCUCCUAUCCUAUACUUCAUCUAUAAUAAUGGUUCUUGGCUUCUUCUAUUCUAUACCUCAAUUAUUUGGAUUAGAUUGAAAAACAAUUGACACUUGAUUUGAUUGUGAAAGAAGUUUUAGUUUAAUGAUAUGAUUGAGUUAAAAUUUAAAUUUAUAAUAUUUAACUUGAGUGUGAGUGAAUUUUUGACUUAAUUCAAAAUUUAAAAUAAUAAGUUCGAGUUUUAUUUAAUUAUGUGUGUAUAUCAUGUAUAAAUUUUAUUUAAAUUUAUUUUGAUUUAAUUCUCAUACUAUAUAUUCUUAAUUAAAUUCGGAAUAUAUUUUAAUUAUCAAUUUAAUUAUACAUUAUAACGAUGGAUUUGGAUAACAAAAUUCAGUUUACAAAAAGACAAAGUAAAGAACACUUACUUCGGUUGAUGUAUGGUAUAAUAAGUCUGCAAAGCACUAAGAGUAAGUGCAGCAAGGGCACCCAAAAAUGCCAAAAACGUCCAAGGCCUCCUAAAAUAAGUAUGAUAACCUUGAGCUGCAUGAUUAAUCCACAUAGUCUUACAAUGAUUAUGUAUUUUCUCUUUAACCCCACUGUAAAUCAUCUGACUAGGAACUAAAUCAGUGUUCAUCUUAUUGAAAAGUUUAGCCACCACUUCAUCACUCCCCAAUCUAUUGUAUAGUAUACCGGCGUCUCUUAGGUCUUUAACAUCUUCGGCUUCAUCGAUCAAUAAAUCAAGGAAACACAUAUAAGAAGUGACGGUGAAAUCGUUGUCGAAAUCCGGACACAUUUCGUAAGCUAUUAAGUUCAUGGUUGAAUCAUCAACGGUGAUUGGCGAUAACCGUAAUUUUCCAAAGAAGAUAUGGUUGAAACUGAUGUCGGUUAAACAACUUGUUUUGCUGCCUUUUAACAGUAUCCCGGCCUUUUUAAGCUCUUUUACGUUACCAAUGGUGUGUGAAUGGUGCCGUUUUGUUCUUGCUUCGUUGCUAGAUCCGUGUUCAGUGAUUGACCACAAACGGCACCACCACGGUUUUCCUUUUCCUACAAGGAGUCUUACUCGUAGUACAUUCAAUAAGUGAAUUCGCUCUCCUUGGUGCAGCUCCCACCACCAUUCACUACACCAAAAUCUGUGUUAGUCGGAAGCCAAGUUAUAAUUUAUCUUUUCAUUUUUUUCUUUUUGUUUGGAUUUGCAAUUGUUAAUUUUCAUGAAGCUAAAAUUAAUAUUUUCAAAAUAGAUAAUUCAACGAUUAAGUUAUUGAUUUAUAAAUUUCAAUUUAUUUGAUUUAAUUAAAUAAAUUAUUAAAAAUUUCGAUUCAAUAACACGGUUUAAAUAAAAAUUUUUACUCUAUUCAUAUAAAUUUUUAAAUCGGCCCGUCUAAUGACUUUCUCCUAAUUGAUGUCUCAAUUAAUUUUCAAUCCAAAUCGAUAUUAGCUAAAAUACAAUUUUUUAUUAUUGUAUUAAUGCAAAAAUCUUACCAUUUUUAAGAUAUUAAACUUUUCCAUUUUGGAAAGUUGGAUUUGAAAUCAUAAUUUUUCAUUUCUAAAUAAUGUACACUCAACAGGAUAAAUGCAAACCGACAGGCAGGGGUCGUUCCCAAGAAAUAAAAAUUUACACUUUAAUCCCUUUAAAAAUUAUUAAAUUAUAAUAAGUCAUCAAAUUAAAAAGAAAAAAAUUUAAGGAUCAGACUAUACUUGUUAAUCAGGUUAGUUAGAUAAAAAAUCGAGUAAAAUUAGAAUUAGACUAAUUGAAUCAAAGAAUCGAAUCACUUUUUUUAUAUUUUUAAUAAUUUCAAAAAAUUAUAUAAUUAAACUGAAUCAACUUAUAAUCCAGAAAAGAGAGUCUAAUAUUUUUAAUAAUUUCAAAGAUUCCAUCACCCAUCUAGUUAUAAAAACCUUUUAACAUUUAUAAACUCCACAAAAAUGAUUCUUUAAUUCCGUAAAUUGGCACAAGAUGCGCCCCAUGGAGGUCUAUCGAUUAGAUGGGGGACAUUUAGCCCACAAGAACUGGCCUGAUUCGGAGAGCUACUAAAGAAGCCUAUCAGAUUAAAGCCUGGUUGGCCCAAUGAUGAAGACAUGACAACUUAGGCAAUUUUGGUAACUAAUCUUAGAAGAUAGAAUAGAAUCAUAUCUUGUAAGAUUAGAUUAGAUUUGAUAUGGCAAAUCUUGUAAAUCCCUAAAAUCAAGGGAUAUAGUGAAUCUCAUCCGUCGAUGUACAUGUAUCUUGAUCGUCGGUUCUGGGGGAGCUCAACUAUAAAUAGAGAGCCUCCCCCUCACUUGUAAAUCAUCCAUUGUAGCUUGAAUUCUUAAGAGUAAUAGAAUUCUUGAGCAUUUACUCAAACACUUUGUGAGCUUUCUUUCUUUAGCUUUCUGUUGUUCUCUUGUGGCUUCUUUUGGCACAAUCGCUUCCGCUAUACAAAUUGGUGCCUUGGAGGAGUUCUAAAAGAAUCCUCUCUUUUGGGAGUUAAGGCUGACUUGGGCAAGUUUGGAUGAACGGAUCGCCUAAGGCCGUACGGAUUGCGAGACGAAAGGUCUAGCCCCGUGACAAGUGGUAUCCGAGCCAAGUUUUGAACCAAGUUAUAUUCGAGUGGUUCGAAGGCACUGUUGGGAUGUCGAAAGAAGUCGUCGGUCAGAGUGAACCAAUGGAGACCCGUGGGAGGGCUAGAAAAGCCAAUCACUCGAGGGAAAUGCUGACAGCUUUGGAGAACCGAGUGGUCAAUCUCGAGGAAUCCGUAGGAAAUGUGAAAGAGACGCUUGAAUUGGUCGAGGGACGCACAGAUGGGUUGGACUCAAUGGAGGAGCAACUCAGAGAUUUUGUGUUGGAUUCUCUUGGUGCAAAUAGGGAAAAGAUAACGGAAUUACUCGAGUCCACUGAGGUAAAGCUAGCAGAGAGGGAUGAAGCUCUCGAGGAUAUGGUGCUAGCCAUGCAAAAAGAAAUGGAGGAGCUUAAGGGGGAGCUCACGAUCUACAAAGCCGCUUUGAGUAAUGGGAUGUUGUCUUCAAGGCCGAAGCAACAAGCAAUGGAUGUGAAUCAAAAUUGGGAUGCUGAUGAUGAUCGUGGAAGGACACAGGAACGACAUCCUCGUGAUAAAUUUAAGGGUAGAUUGAAGUCUUCAAAUAGAGGUAAAACUUGUAACUUCUGCAAAAAGAAAAGACACGUUAAAUCUGAGUACUAUAAGCUACAUAACAAUAUCAAAAGGGGGGCUGUGAAUCAAAAUGGAAAACAACUAGAAAAUUUUGGUAAAGUUGAUGUUGUAGAAAACUACAACGAUGGUGAACUUCUAGUUGCUUCUGCCAACAAUUCUAAAGUUAGCGAGGAGUGGAUCCUUGAUUCGGGCUGCACCUUCCACAUAAGUCCCAAUUGGGAUUGGUUUACAACUUACAAAACAGUGUUUGAAGGUGUUGUUUUAAUGGGAAAUAAUACUUUAUGUUGAAUCAUAGGUGUUGGAAGAAUUAAAGUUAAGAUGUUUGAUGGAGUUGUCAGAACACUUAGUGACGUACGACAUGUUCCAAAAUUUAAGAGAAAUUUAAUUUCGUUGAGUACUCUUGACUCAAAAGGGUACAAAUAUACAGCUAGAAGUGGGGUUUUGAAGAUUUCCACAGGUUCCCUCGUUGUGAUGAAUGGGUAGAGAAAGACUACCAAGUUAUAUGUUUUGCAGGGUUUUACUGUUACUGGUGAUGCAACUGUCGCAUCCUCUUCUUUGUCAAAUGAUGAUAUUACUAAACUAUGGCAUAUGUACCUAGGGCAUAUGAGUAAGAAUGACAUGGUAGAAUUGAGCAAAAGAGGACUUCUUAAUGGGCAAGGAAUUUGCAAACUGAAAUUCUGUGAGCACUGCAUUUUUUGGAAGCAAAAGAGAGUUCGAUUCACUAGAGGAAUCCAUAACAUGAAAGGAAUGUUAGAGUAUAUUCAUUUUGAUUUUUGGGGGCCAUCUAGAGUGCAUUCGAGAGGUGGAGCUAAUUAUAUGCUAACUUUUAUUGAUGAUUUUUCCAGAAAAGUGUGGGUGUUCUACCUGAAGCAGAAAAGCGAUGUGUUUUUCACUUUUGAGUCUUGGAAAACUAUAAUUGAAAAACAGACGAGAAAACAAAUAAAAUACCUCCGCACAGAUAAUGGCUUAGAGUUCUAAUCUGAUGAGUUUAAUAAACUGUGUAAGUCAGAAGGGAUAGUGAGACACUUGACAGUUCGUCAUACUCCACAGUAAAAUGGUGUUGCAAAAUGAAUGAACAAAACUAUCAUGGAGAAGGUUCGAUAUAUGUUGUCAAAUGCCAACUUACCAAAGUCAUUUUGGGCCGAAGCAGCCUCUACUACAUGUUUUUUAAUCAACUGAUCUCCAUCUGUUGCCAUUAAGAAAAAGACUCCACAAUAGGUAUGGUUUGGUAUUCUUGCUAACUAUUCUGAUUUAAAGAUUUUUAGGUGUCCUGCAUAUGCUCAUGUUGAUAAUGGAAAAUUGGAAUCGAGAUUCAUUAAAUGUAUUUUUCUUGGUUAUAAAGCUGGUGUAAAAAGGUAUAAGUUAUGGUGUCCUGAAAAUAGAAAAGUUGUGAUUAGCAAAGAUGUUGUUUUUGAUGAAACUGCUAUGCUACCUAACUUAUCUCUUAAAGACUCUUCCAAUAAAAAAAAAUCAAAAGCAGGUGGAGCAUCAGAUUAAUCCAGAACCCACAACAGAGUCAACUCCUCAAGCCAGUACAAAAAUUCAAAAUAGAGUUGCUUCUUCACCAUAAUACUCAAUCGCCAAAAACAAAACUAGAAGAGAAAUUAAACCUUCAAAGAAGUAUGCCGAGGCUGAUUUAGUUGCUUAUGCUUUAAAUGUGGCUGAAGAUAUAGAUGCAAACUAAGAGCCAUCUAAUUAUUCUGAUGCUUAUGCUUUAAAUGUGACUGAAGAUAUAGAUGCUUUAAAUUUCGGGAGUGGACUUCACAGAUAUGUUUUCUCCAGUUGUGAAGUAUAGGUCUAUUCGAGCUUUUGUUGGUAUUGUGGCAAUGCAUGAUUUGGAGUUUUUACGUGUAAAAACUGCUAAUUUAUUUUCGUCCCCAAAACAUUUUUGGCUUAUACCUUGAAUGUGGAUCAAAAAAGAAAGUCUAGAGACUGAUAAGUGCUAAAAGUAACAUGUUUUAAUCUCAUUUUUAGUGUGUUUUUGGAUAAUUAUUCGAUUUAAAAUGGUGAAAUUUAUGCUCCUAAUCCUUUAAUUUAUGUUUCUAUACUUAGGAAAGGAUUUGGGAGCAAAAGGAACGAAAAUCGAAAAAUUGGAGCAAGUUUCAAGAGACAACUGGUUGGGCCAUUCUACAUGGCCAGGACACACGGCCGUGUGAGCUACACAGGCUUCCACACAGCCAAAUGCCAGACCAUGUGCAAAUCACAAAUCGCACUCCAAACCUACAGGAAAGCACAUUUUUUUAGGUAAGCAUAUUUUAUAGGUUUUUCAGGCAUUCUAAGACUUAUAUAUGAAAAAAAUAAGAAGAUGGGAGGGAACCGCCAUAGAAUAUUGAAGAAACAAAACUCAAAAAACACCAUUAAAGCUGACUCUGAAGCAGAUUUUCAUCAAGAUUGAAGAUCUCCUUUUGAUUUCUUUGAAGUUUAUUAUGAGUUCCUUUAUUUCUUGUGGUUAUCCUGUUUUUAGGAUGUUUUUAUUUGCUAUCAUGAACUAAUUUUCUAAAUACCUAUAGAGAUGAACCCUAGGAUGGAUUCUGUUAUUUGAUUUCUAUUUUUAUGCAAUAAAUACUUGAAUCUUGUUCUAAAUUUUGAGUGUUUAACUAUUGGUUUAAUAUUUCUAGGCUACUAGUCCAUGUUUGAUGUGCUUAAAUCAGAGGAUGGAUAGACCUAUUUAAGAGUAGAUCUAGCGUAAUUGAGUGAAGUUGCAUACAAUCUUAGAAAUAGGAUGGCAUAAAUAUACCAUAUUAGAGUCAAAUCUAAUAGGGGGAUCCAUAGAUCGAAUUAAUGUGAUAAUAGGAGUUUUAAUUAAAAAGAAAUUUCAAUUAAUCAGCCUAGAGUCAGUUGCUCUUAGUCUUGAAGAGAGAUAUUAUAAUAUUUAGGGAUUUCUAUGGAUCAAGCUACUAGUACUUUUACUAUGAAUCUCUUAGAAAAGAGUUGAAUUAAUAUUUUUUAACAAAAUAGUGACUGAAAUAUUAAAUUUUAAACAUGAUAACUCAUAUGACAAUCUACGUGUAUAUGUUUUCUUAUUUUAAAAUUAUUUGUUGACGUGGUAUAUAAGAAAAGUCAUGUUAUGUUAGCAUGAAAUGCACAUGGAUUGUCACACGAGUUGUAACACGAGCACUGUUAAAAAUUUAAUGUUUUAGUCAAUAUUUAUGUUAAAGAAAAGUAAGUUGACUAUUUUUUGAAAGGUUAAUGGCUAAAUUUAACUCAAAAUAAUAAUAAUAAAGAAUAGAGACUAAUUUCACAAAAAAUGUAAAUGUCAAAGGCUAAAUUUAAAAUUCUUAAAUGAUGACAUGACAUAAUCUCAAAGUGUCACGCUAUCACUCUUUGAUAGAAUUCAAGUUCAUGGACUAAAUCAAAAAAAAAUUGUUAAGUUCUGUUAUUAACCAUUUCUUUGUUCUUCAUUUUUUUCCUUUUGCUUUUUAGGUUCCAUAAUAAAAAAAUGGAUGGGAAAUUUCUAAAAUCAUUAGAAACAAGAAAAUAUGAUCUCAAAUCCAAUAAAUUACCCAAUCAAGUUACAGAGACUUAGGACCUGGCUAUGGGUGAAUUCAUCCCCUACAUUUUAGUAGGCACAGGUGGAUUUCAAGAACACAAAUAAUUAAAUUGGCUAAAUUUAUUCAUAUCCACCAAAUUAUUGGAAUUUUCAAAUAUAUUCAAAAAAUUAGAAGAGACAUUGGAUGAAACCACAAACAAAAUCAAAUUGAAAGAAAAGCAAAAUGACAUGGAAGGAGUAAAAGAAAAUAUGACUAAAUUGCCUGAAAAAUUAGCACGUAUGUUAAGCAACAUUAAUGAUAAAACACAUAGGAUACAACAACUACAUAUUUUUCACAUGCCAACCAACCAAUUUAUUUUUGUCCUUUUUGGUGUAAUUAAGGUAAAAUGAAUUUAAUUAUCUUUCAUAGAGUAAAUAAUCUUACCAACCAACCAACAACCAAUUUAUUAUUCACAUGCCAACCAACCUAUCUAUUUUUGUCCUUUUUGGUGUAAUUAAGGUAAAAUAAUCAGAUCCUAAGAGAUUGUUUGCAAGUCAAGUUAAACAAAAUAUAUCUUCUUUCUAGAAGAUUUAGUAUUUAUGAGUAUAAUAUAUUUAGCAUUUAUUAGCAUAAUAUAUUUGACUUUGAUUAGAAUUAGAUUUUUUUCAACCUAUAAAAGAUAUAAUCGAAACUCCUCUUGAAAUCAUUCGAAUUCGACAUAGUGAAUUUUCUUUUCCUCUGCCGGUGGUUUUUUACCCGAACGGGUUUCGACGUAAAAAUUUGUGUGCUUUUUAUUUUAUUUUUCUUUUCUUUGUGAUAUAUUAUCAUUGCUGACGUUCUAUUUUUUACAAAUUGGUAUCCGAGCUUCCAGGUUGUUCAUCUCAAUCAUGGUAAUGGCGUCUUUAAAGUUUGAAAUUUCACUGUUGGAUCGCAACACUAGAUUUGUGUUGUGGCAGAUAAAGAUGCAAGUAGUUCUUGCACAGAUGGACUUAGAGGAAGCCUUGCUGUGGUAGAUAAGAUGCCUUCAACAUUGACGGUGGAAGAGAAGAAGCGCAAGGAUCGAAAGGCGUUAACACAGUUACAUCUGCAUUUGUCUAACGAAAUUUUACAGGAUGUGAUAAAUGAGAAGACCGCCGCUGGAUUAUGGAAGAGGUUGGAACAAAUAUGUAUGUCGAAAACUCUAACUAGCAAGCUGCAUAUGGAGCAGCGUCUUUAUGCUCAUUGUUUGGAGGAAGGUGUAUCUGUGCAUGAACACUUAACAGUGUUUAAAGAAAUUCUCUCAAGCUUGGAGGCCAUGGAGAUUUAGUAUGAUAGGGAAGAUCUAAGGUUGAUUCUACUUUAUUCGUUGACCCCGUCUUAUUCAACCUUUAGAGAUAUGAUUUUAUAUAACCGCUAGUCUCUCACAGUUGAUAAGGUUUAUGAUUCUUUAACCUCGUAUCAUAAGAUUAAGUAUCUUGUUGUUAAAAUCAACUCUUAGGGAGAGGGUCUCAUGGUUCGUGAGAGACACAAUCGGGAUGUUGAUGAUGAUCGUGGAAGGACACAGGAAUGACAUCCUCGUGAUAAAUUUAAGGGUAGAUUGAAGUCUUCAAAUAGAUGUAAAACUUGUAACUUCUGCAAAAAGAAAAGACACGUUAAAUCUGAGUACUAUAAGUUACAUAACAAUAUCAAAAGGGGGGUUGUGAAUCAAAAUGGAAAACAACUAGAAAAUUUUGGUAAAGCUGAUGUUGUAGAAAACUACAACGAUGGUGAACUUCUAGUCGCUUCUGCCAACAAUUCUAAAGUUAGCGAGGAGUGGAUCCUUGAUUCGGGCUGCACCUUCCACAUAAGUCCCAAUUGGGAUUGGUUUACAACUUACGAAACAGUGUUUGAAGGUGUUGUUUUAAUGGGAAAUAAUACUUUAUGUUGAAUCAUAGGUAUUGGAAGAAUUAAAGUUAAGAUGUUUGAUGGAGUUGUCAGAACACUUAGUGACGUACGACAUGUUCCAAAAUUUAAGAGAAAUUUAAUUUCGUUGAGUACUCUUGACUCAAAAGGGUACAAAUACACAGCUAGAAGUGGGGUUUUGAAGAUUUCCACAGGUUCCCUCGUUGUGAUGAAUGGGUAGAGAAAGACUACCAAGUUAUAUGUUUUGCAGGGUUUUACUGUUACUGGUGAUGCAACUGUCGCAUCCUCUUCUUUGUCAAAUGAUGAUAUUACUAAACUAUGGCAUAUGUACCUAGGGCAUAUGAGUAAGAAUGACAUGGUAGAAUUGAGCAAAAGAGGACUUCUUGAUGGGCAAGGAAUUUGCAAACUGAAAUUCUGUGAGCACUGCAUUUUUUGGAAGCAAAAGAGAGUUCGAUUCACUAGAGGAAUCCAUAACAUGAAAAGAACGUUAGAGUAUAUUCAUUUUGAUUUGUGGGGGCCAUCUAGAGUGCCUUCGAGAGGUGGAGCUAAUUAUAUGCUAGUUUUUAUUAAUGAUUUUUCCAGAAAAGUGUGGGCGUUCUACCUGAAGCAGAAAAGCGAUGUAUUUUCGCUUUUGAGUCUUGGAAAACUAUGAUUAAAAAACAAAAGGAAAACAAAUAAAAUACCUCUGCUCAGAUAAUGGUUAGAGUUCUGCUCUGAUGAGUUUAAUAAACUGUGCAAGUCAGAAGGGAUAGUGAGACACUUGACAGUUCGUUAUACUCCACAGUAAAAUGCUGUUGCAGGAUGAAUGAACAAAACUAUCAUGGAGAAGGUUCGAUAUAUGUCGUCAAAUGCCAACUUACCAAAGUCAUUUUGGGCUGAAGCAGCCUCUACUACAUGUUUUUUAAUCAACCGAUCUCCAUCCGUUGCCAUUAAGAAAAAGACUCCACAAUAGGUAUGGUCUGGUAAUCUUGCUAACUAUUCUUAUUUAAAUAUUUUUGGGUGUCCUGUAUAUGCUCAUGUUGAUAAUGAAAAAUUGGAAUCGAGAUUCAUUAAAUUUAUUUUUCUUGGUUAUAAAGCUGGUGUAAAAAGGUAUAAGUUAUGGUGUCCUGAAAAUAGAACAGUUGUGAUUAGCAAAGAUGUUGUUUUUUUAUGAAACUGCUAUGCUACCUAACUUAUCUCUUAAAGACUCUUCCAAUAAAAAAAAUCAAAAACAGGUGGAGCAUCAGAUUAAUUUAGAAUCCACAACAAAGUCGACUCCUCAAGCCAGUACAAAAAUUCAAAAUAGAGUUGCUUCUUCACCAUAAUACUCUAUCGCCAAAAACAAAACUAGAAAAGAAAUUAAACCUCUAAAGAAGUAUGUCGAAGGCUGAUCUAGUUACUUAUUCUUUAAAUGUGACUGAAGAUAUAGAUGCAAACCAAGAGCCAUCUAAUUAUUCUGAUACGAUUAGCUUGAAGACUCAGAAAAGUGGAUGUUUGUUAUGUAAGAGGAGAUGAAAUCACUCCACAAAAAUCAAACAUUGGAUCUUAUGAAACUUUCUAAAAAUAAAAAGGUUGUUCGUUGUAAAUGGGUGUUUAAAAAGAAAGAGGGGACUCUAGGAGUUGAAGAACCCAGAUAUAAAGCAAGGCUUGUUGCAAAGGGUUAUAGUCAAAUUUCGGGAGUGGACUUCACAGAUAUGUUCUCUCCAGUUGUGAAGCAUAGGUCUAUUCGAGCUUUGCUUGGUAUUGUGGCAUUGCAUGAUUUCUUAAGCAGUUAGAUGUAAAAACUGCAUUUUUACAUGGAGAAUUUGAGGAGGAUAUUUACAUGCAACAACCAGAGGGUUUUACAAUCUCAGAAAAAGAGGACUAUGUUUGCUUGCUGAAACAGUCCAUUUACGAUUUGAAACAGUCAUCAAGACAGUGGUAAAAGAGGUUUGAUUCCUUUAUGACUUCUUAUGAUUUUAAAAGAAGUAGCUUUGAUAGUUGUGUUUACUUUAAGAAAAACAGUGAUGGUUCUUUUGUUUAUCUACUCCUUUAUGUUGAUGACAUGUUGAUAGUAGCGAAAGAUAAAUGAGAGAUAAGAAAUGUCAAAUUCUAAUUAAGUGAAGAAUUUGAGAUGAAAUAUUUGGGACUAGCAAAGAAGAUAUUUGGCAUGGAGAUUCUUAGAGAUAGAAAAGCAAGUAAAUUGUACCUAAGUCAGAAGGGGUAUAUUGAGAAAGUUCUUUGCAGAUUCAAUAUGCAGAAUACUAAGCCUGUUAGUACUCUUUUAGCAGCCCAUUUUAGAGUUUUAUCGACUUUGUCUCCACAAUCAGAUGAUGAGAUUGAGUACAUGUCACAUGUUCCAUACUCUAGUGUAAUGGGAUCUCUCAAGUAUGCUAUAGUUUGUCCACGUGUAGAUUUAUCAUAUGCAGUCAGUGCAGUUAGUAGAUACAUGGCGAAUCCCGAUAAAGAACAUUAGAAAGCAGUUCAGUGGAUUUUAAGAUACUUACGAGGUACUACUGAUAUUUGCUUAUAGUUUGGAAGAACUAGAGAUGGAGACAUUGGGUAUGUUGAUACUGAUUUUGCUGGAGACCUUGAUAGAAGAAGAUCUCUCACAGGUUAUGUAUUUACAAUCGAAGGUUGUGCAAUCAGUUGGAAAGCCACUUUGCAACCCACAGUUGCUUUGUCUACCAUUGAAGCUGAGUACAUGACGAUUACUGAUACUUGUAAAGAAGCUAUUUGGUUGAAGGGACUUUUUAGUGAACUCAAUGAAAACCUUCAAAUCAGUACAGUAUUUUGUGACAGUUAAAGUGCCAUCUUCCUUACAAAAGAUCAAAUGUUUCGUGAGAAAACAAAACACAUCGAUGUUCGGUAUUAUUUUGUUCGUGUUAUUAUUGCUCGUGUUGAAAUUGUUGUGACCACAAUUAGUACUCAUGAAAAUCCUACAGAGAUGAUGACUAAGUCAUUUCUUAUAACCAAUUUUGAGCAUUGCUUAGACUUGAUUGGUGUUCAUUGUUGAAAUUAAACCCUUAAGGGGUUUUAUGGAAGAGGUGGAGAACUUGUUCGUUGAGAGUUCGCGAUAAAGAACUUGUUCAUUGAGAAUUCGUGUCAAGGUGGAGAUUGUUAGAGUUUUGUGACCCAAAUUCUAAAAGAUUGCUUGCAAGUCAAGUUAAACAAAAUAUAUCUUCUUUCUAGAAAUUUUAGUAUUUAUGAGUAUAAUAUAUUUAGCAUUUAUUAGCAUAAUAUAUUCGACUUUGAUUAGAAUUAAGUUUUUUUCAACCUAUAAAUAGAUGUAGUUGAAACUCCUCUUGAAAUCAUUCGAAUUCGACAUAAUGAAUUUUCUUCUCCUCUGCCCAUGGUUUUUUUCCCGCAAGGGUUUCCACGUAAAAAUCUGUGUUCUUUAUUUUAUUUCUCUUUUCUUUGUGAUAUAUUGUCAUUGCCAAUGUUUUAUUUUUAACACAUAGAUUAAAUAAUCUUACCAACCAACCAAUUUAUUUUUGUCCUUUUUGGUGGGCUUUCGAGUCUACAAGACAGGUAGCAAUAGUUAUUGAGGAGCUAGUCACGUUUUAAAUAUUUUCUUCUAAGUAAGCACAACAACAUUAAGAAAUUUAUUUUUUAGAGUCUAUAUAAGGAAAAGGGCCUUAGGAUUUUCUAGUGCCACACUCACUUCAACAACAGACACUUCAAAUUUUCAAGCAUACAACAGCAGCAGCAGCCAGCGAACUAAUCAAUUGUUUUUAAGUACUAAUAUUUAGGGAUAAAGUAAUAGUUAAUUAUCUGAAUAUUUUAUAAUAGGGACGAAGUUAUAAAAGAAGUUGAAUUAGAUAUCUUUAUACAAGUUAAAAUACAAUUUAAUCAUAUUGGUUUGUAAUUUUACAUAUUUUAAAGGGAUUAGAUCAAAAUUUUAUCAUUUUGGAGGUUGAGAUGAAAUUUUACCGUGUAUUAACAUGUAAAAUUAUAACUUUUAAAGGCACCCAAAACAUAAAUUUCCAUUUUAGGUGGCCGAAGCCUUGGUUAUUUAUCUACUUUGAUCUUUGAACUUCUUUUUGUCUAAAUUAAUUCGAAAAUUUGAUAGUUUUUCCUAGUUUAGUCCUUGAACCUUGGGUUAUGCUACAUCAUCACUUGUAUUUUUUAUUAAAAAUAAUAAUAAUUUCUUUUUCAUUCUUUUUAGAUUUUAUUUAAGUUUUUUAAAAUUUUCAAAUGAUGACGUGACAAAAUCUUAAAGUGGCAUGCUAUCGCUCUUUAACGGAAUCCAAGUCCAUGGACUAAAUAAAAAAAUUGUUAAGUUCAAAGACUAAAUAUUAUUUUAUCCCUAAUAUUAGUUACCCUGUUUUAGAAGUUGAUUGAAUUUCUUGCUUGCUUACUUUUGUUAUUAACCGUUGCUUUGUUCUUCUUCUUCUUCUUCUUUUUAAUUUUAGGUCCCGUAAUUGAAAAAAGAUGCAUGAGAAAUUUCUAAAAUCAUUAGAAACAAGAAAAUAUGAUCUCAAAUCCAGUGAUUUACCCAUAUCAAGUUACAGAGACUUGGGCCCCGGCUAUGGUGAAUUCAUCCCCUACAUUUUAGCAGGCCAAGGUGGACUUCAAGAACACAAACAAUUAAAUUGGCUAAAUUUAUUCGUAUCCGCCAACUUAUUAGAAUUUUCAAAUAUAUUCAAAAAAUUAGGAGAAACAUUGGAUGAAACCACGACGGAAAUCACAAACAGGAUCAAAUUGAAAGAGAAGGAAAAUGACAUGGAAGGGAUAAAUGAAGAGAUGGCUAAAUUGCCUAAAAAUUUAGCACGUGUGUUAAGCAACAUUGAUGAUAAACCAUAUAGGAUACAACAUAUGGAGUGUAGCUUGGAAAAGAACAUGUAUAAGAUCAAUAAGGAUCAAAUUAAAAUUAUGAAAGAAUUGAGGGACUUGAAAAGGGAAAUAAAAGAGUUAAAGGAGGAUGUGAAAGAAGUUAAAAUAAAAAUUGAAAUUUUUAAAAAUUUCAAAAGUUUUCUUUGAUUUCUUAAAAUUUUUUAUUAAAUCUCUUAAAUUUUAUUUUCAAAAAAAAGAAUUUCAUUAAACACCAAAAAUGAAAUAGAUUGAAUCCAACAUCCAUGAGUUACAAAAUUAUCAUAUAUAACAAGAGCUUACAAAAAGACUAGUGUUACGGAAAAUGGCUUACGGAAAAUGACUUACUUUUCUGAAAAAGCUAAUAUUUUCUAGUGUUUGGAUAAAUCUGUGUAAAAUAUUUUCUUUUGUUUGGAGGUUCUUUAAAAAUAUUUUAUAAAAGUCAUUUUCAAUUAAACAAACAUACAUUUGAGAUUUUUUUUAUUUUUUUAUUUUUUCAUUGUUUAAUUGAGUUUAUUUUAUACCUAUAAUUUUAUAUUGUACAUUGUUUUUACAUAUAUUAAAAAUAUUUUGUUAAAUUUAGGUUCAUUGCAACAAUCAUUUUUUAGUUACAUGACUACCAAUUGAGUUUUUUUGUUUAAAAAUGUUACAUUAACAAAAUUGAUAAAAAAAUUAACAAUGUCAGCAGUUGGACUUGAUUUUCAAAUCUAGAAAGGAGAGGGACUAAAUUCUUGAAAAUAAAAGUACAGAAACUAAAUUGCAAAUUUGUGAAGAGUAUAUAAACUUAUGAUAUAUCUUAACAUUUAUACUACAAAACAAUUAUUAUUAAUAUAUUUAUAAUUGUAAUAAAUAUUUAGUAUUAAAGUAUUAAUAUUGAUAUUUUCAAUAAUAUGUGAAUAAUAUUAUUUAAAAUUACUAUUAAAAUAAAAUUUAAAUAUUAAAUAAUUUAUUAAAAAUAAUAAAUUAUAUUAAUAAUUUAUUAUAUGACUAAAUAUAAAUAAUUAAAUACGUAUUUUAAUAAUAUUAAAAAAUAUAAUAUUUUAUAUUAAUAUUUUAAAUAUUUUAAAAAUAAAAAUAAAAUUUAUUAUCAAUAUAAUAAUAUUAAACUUGAUUUAAGUUAAUUUUUAUAUAAAAGUAAAAUUAUCUAUUGAGGAGCUCUUUUCCGGAAAAUGACUUACGCUUUUCAAGAGGAUAAGUAAUUUUACAAGGAAAAAGGCUUAUUUCCAUUGACCUGUAAGUUAUUUUCCGUUGACCAAGCUGUUUUCUGUGAAACAAACACAGGAAAAUGCAGAAAAUAUUUUCCGUAAAACCUUUUACAUGUAAACAAAUGGACCCUUACUUUGGUUGAUGUAUGGUAUAAUAAGUCUGCAAAGCACCAAGCAAAAGUGCAGUAAUGGCACCCACAAAUGCCAAAAACGUCCGAGGACUCCUAAAUUAAGUAUGAUAACCUUGAGCUGCAUGAUUAAUCCACGUAGUCUUACAAUGAUUAUGUAUUUGCCCUUUAACCCUACUGUAAAUCAUCGGACCAGGAACCAAAUCAGUGUUCAUCAUGUAAAUGAUAUAAUGUCCAAAUUGUCUAGUGUUACUUCACAUGGUUGAUUUCAUUUGUGAAUUAAUGAUUGUGGAUUGACAACAUUGACUAUUCUAUGCACGGGGAGUGUAACACCUCAAACCCGGCCUAGACGUUAUGGUCGAAUCCUGGAGUGUUACAAAGAAGGGUUUUGAAAUCAGUGUUACUUCGAUAAAACUUUGUAUAGUCGUUCGAUAAAUCAUCCAAGUUUUAUAAUCCAUAUUCGUUUAUAUAACUAUUACUGAAAGCGUUAUACAAUUAAUUCAUUUGCCAAAACAUAAUUUACAGCGGAAGUCAUUUUCAUAAAUCGUUUUGACAAACCAAACAGGAUAGAAAACAAUCGAAACCAAAACCAACAGUUAAAAUCAUACAGUCCAGAGAGUCCCAAAAAUGACAAACUCUCAAAUAAAUUCAUAAUUUUAAUUAAAACCGUUAGUUAUUAAGUAAAAAUAGUUCUCAAUCGAGUGGUCAUCGCUGAGCCUCUGUCGUACUGACCUGCCGAAGUUUGUGGAUUACCUGAACAGAAUAGACAAAAAGAUGUGAGUUUUCAUAAACUUGGUGUGUAACCCAACAAAAAUAGUCAUGCAGCAUACACAGAAUCUCAUAUACAGUCAGAUACAGAUUCGGACCUAUGUCCAUGACAGAUACAGAUAGCAGAAUCAGAUAAGAAGAAUCAUACCCCCAUCCUCUACACACCAUCUCCGACUAUCCCAUCACACCAUGUGGGGUUAAAAACACCCACCCAACCCUACACACCAUAUAGAGUCAAUGCGACGCAUAACAGAUAAUAUGCAAUCAAUCUGCUAGAAUAAAGGCAAAGAAUCGCCAUACAAAUCACUUCCUCCACAUAUACAAUUCCCACCCCAAACACAGAUACAGAAUACAGAUGCAAAAAUAUCAGAGUAAACAUGCUUAACAUGCUCGUAUACAAAUGGAUACAUACUUAAACAGUACAGUCCGACAUACAUAUAGUAUCCUAAUCAAAUUAGUCUAUCAGAAUAUCAUAGCACAUAAAUUAGGGUUUUGGUUAGCCCUUACUGACCCUACGGCAGGUCCACAGUCGAUCGGAAUGACACCUGUGACCCUAGGGAAUAUUUCAGAAUUAUGGGCCCACAUGCCUAUAUGGGCCCACACGUCCAGAUUGGCCUUACCUGCAUGGGAACAUUAGAAGGUUCAAAAUACAAUUUUAUUAUUAUAUUAAUUUAUAAUUUCAUAAAUUUUAAAAGGAUUAAAUGAUAAAUUUACUAAUUUAAAAAGACAAUAGGGAUGGUAAAAUCUAAUUGAACCUAUCUGCGUUCGGAUCGGGAUGGAUUUUUUUUAAUUUAAAAAAUUAAAUAGAUUGAAUCGAAAAUCUAGGAGUUACAAAAUUCUCAUAAAUAACAAGAGUUUACAAAAAGAACACUUACUUGGUUGAUGUAUGGUAUAAUAAGCUUGCAAUCCACAUAUACAAUUCCCACCCCAAACAUGAAUAUAGAAUACAGAUGCGGGAAUAUCAGAGUAAACAUGCUUAAAAUGCUCGUAUACAGAUGGAUACAUACUUAAAUAGUGCAAUCAAACAUACAUAGGUCCACAAUCUAUUAGAAUAUCAUAGCACAUGGGUCCACAUGCCCGUGUGGGCCCACACGCCCAGAUUGGCGUUGCCCAUGUGGCCCACAUGGCCUGGCCCAAAACCCACACGGCCGUGUGGGCCUACAUGCCCAACUUGGCCUAGCCCGUGCGACCCACAAGGUCACACUCACACAAUCACACGACCAUGUCUUGUGCGCGGCCAUACCUUCGUCAGUCACAUGGCCGUGUCUCGCACAUGGCCAACCACAUGGCUUGGCUCACGCCCUUGUGGCAUUGACAGUGCCCUUUUUUAGCUUUUGUCGAACCUCAAUUUUUCAUGUUUAAGGUACACACAUGGUUCAUUUUAGAUGCCUAGCAAUCCUGAGCCCUCUGAAACCUAAGAAAUAGCAUCCCAUUGACCAAUUAGCAAUCAAUUUACGAAUCGACACUUAACCCGAAAUAACGCACAUAACUUACCGAAGACACGAAUUGGCACGAGCGCGAUCUAGGCUGUCGAAGUAAAAAUUCAUUGCUCACAACCUUCUCCUACACCACAAAUUUGCAGAAAUCAAACCCCCUAUCUAUGCUACUACGCUACCACGAAAAGAAAAUAAACUGAUAGCUUACCCAAAUCACAUAAAAAUGUCAAGUCCAGAGUGCAACGUGAAGAACAAAAGAUGAAAAAACAAGUUUGAAGGAAAAGAAAACGAACGAAAAAAUCAGAGAUUGAAGAGGAGAAAAAGGAAGAAAUGUAAAAGAAUAAAUAAAUAAAUAAAAAGAGUAGAAACUGACGUCAGAAUUUUUAGAGAGAGAGAACCUAAAUUUUGAAAAAUAAAAAUAAAAUAAGAUAAAAACAAUAUCACAACUCCCCCCACUCAAACCAGCAAAUUCAUUCUGAUAUAAUUAAAUUUACAAACAAUAUUCCAUAAACUUGCCUAAUAGGGAUAAGGCUAAGACCAAAAAAAUAACAGAAUUUUCAAAUGUGAGACUUGAAUACUAGACCUCAAACACAUACCGAAAACACUUAGCCACUAAAGUAAAAACAUAUUUAUAUUAGGAUUUACAGAAACAUAUUUAUAUCAAGAUUUACAGAAAUAGAAAUAAAUUAUUCAUGGCGUUACAGAUGGGUAGUACUCCUUUUUCUACCAUUUCACUACCCAUUGCAUUCAAUUUCUCUGCCCUACUACUCCUCUGCACUGCACUGUCCAAUUGCAUUUAAAGAUAAUGUAUACAUAUAGAUUGUAAAUUUUCUUGGCUGGAAGCUCACUGGAAGCCAAAAUCAAAACAAACUUUUGAUGGUUUAAUUGUUUUUUAGCCCUUGAAUUUCAGGUGCUAUGAGAAAUGAAUUACAACCUCAUCUUGUCAUUAUCCCAAAAUCAAAACAAGCAACUCUUGGUUGAAAGUUGAAACCAAGGGCCAAGUCAAAAUUGUUUUAGGACGAGUCCAAAAUGAACAAUGAUUUUGAAGGUUCAAAAUACAAUUUUAUUAUUAUAUUAAUUUAUAAUUUCAUAAAUUUUAAAAGAUUAAAUGAUAAAUUUACUAAUUUAAGAAGACAAUAGGGAUGGUAAAAUCUAAUUGAACCUAUCUGCGUUCGGAUCGGCAUGGAUUUUUUUAAUUUAAAAAAUUAAAUAGAUUGAAUCGAAAAUCUAGGAGUUACCAAAUUCUCAUAAAUAACAAGAGUUUACAAAAAGAACACUUACUUGGUUGAUGUAUGGUAUAAUAAGCCUGCAAAGCACCGAUAGAAAGUGCAGCAAUGGCACCCACAAAUGCGAAAAACGUCCAACGAGUCCUAAAACAAGUAUGAUAAACUUUAGCUGGAUAUUUACUCCACAUAUUCUCACGAUGAUUAUGUAUUUGCAGUUUAACAUGUCAUGUAAAUCAUCGGACUAGGAACCAAAUCAAUGUUCAUCUUCUUGAUAAGCUUAGCCACUUCUUUAUCACUCCCAAAUCUAUGGUAUAGUAUGCCGGCGCCUCUCAGUUCCUUAACAUCUUCGGCUUCAUCGAUCAAUGAAUCAAGGAAACCCAUAUAUGAAGUGACGGUGAAACUGUUGAAGAAAUCCGGACACAUUUCGUAAGCUAUUAAGUUCACUGUUAAAUCAUCGACGGUGAUCGGCGGUAACCAUAAAUUUCCGAGGAAGAAGAAAGGGCUGAAACUGAUGUCUGUUAAACAACUUGUUUCGCUUGCUUUUAACCUUAUCCCGGCUUUUUUAAGCUCUUUUACGUUCCUUAAGGUGUGUGAAUGGUGCCCUUCUAUUCUUGUUUGGUUGCUGCGAUUUUUCAAGUUCAUGAAAAAUCGAGUGCAAAACCUACAAUGCCGCCUUGGUUUUUCUUUUUCUUUUUUCUUUAUUGAAAGGAGUCUUACUCGUAGUAGAUGCAAUAAGUGAAUUCGCUCUCCUUGCUGCGGCCACCAUUCACUACAGCAAAAUCUGUGUUAGUCGGAAGCCAGCUAAAAUUAAGGUUUUCAACAGUUGAAUCUAUAAGAUCAUUGAUUUAUAAGUUCAAUUUAUCCGAUUUGAAUAAAAAAUUUAAUCCUUUUAAAAAUUAUUAAAUUAUAAUUUUUUAUAUAUAAUAAAAUUAUACUUUGACUCCUUAAAAAAUGAAGAAAAAAAUUGUUUAACUCUUUCGGAAAAUGAUAAAAUCAUAAAUUAAUGUAUAAAGAAAAUUUAAGAAUCAAACUAAAUUUAUCGGUGGGCCUGGUUAAACAGAGAAUCGUGCAAGGUAUUAAUCUAGAAUAAUGAGUUAGACUCAUUGAAUCGAGUGGUCGAAUAGAUUUUUUUAUAUUUUUAAUAUAUCUUUAAUAUUUUUAAAAUUUUAUAUAAUUGAAUCCAAUUAACUAAUCAACCAAAAAUAGACUCUAAUCGAUUCUAUCACCUAUUUUACAUUUAUACACUCCACAAAAUGAUUCUUUUGUACAUUCCUUAAAUUACCUGUCCUGCUGAUGUGAUUGUGGCCCUUUAACAGUGACGUCGAUGAACCUUAUGAUUGCCUUCAUGAACUUUUUGCCAUUAUUGCUCAAGCUUGUAAGCAAUUCAAGAACACGAAAAGGUAUUUGGUUCUCCAACAAUAACAGAUCCGAGUACACCAAUGUCAGCAAAUCGUUUUUAAUAACCAAUUGGCCAUAAACAGCAUAAAAAUCAUCAUUAGUACCGUAAUGCAUAUAAAUUAAUUGUAAAAUUGCGCAGCCGUCAACGAAGAACAUCCAAGCCAGUUUCUCGUUAUCGUUGCCAUACUCCUCUAAUUCCGUUGGAUCAUAGCAUUUCCUCAAGCCAUCGAUCUCUUUCUUCAUGUUUCUGUACAAGGAAUCCUUAUCGACGCCAAUGUUUUUGACGAAAUGUGCUGCUAAUUUGAGCUUGAGCUCCUUGGAUUCAUGGAGGGUGGGAUCAUCGUGGUGGAGUGGGCCGAUUGAGAUCACUUUCGGCUUGAAAUACUUCAUGAAAUCUUCGGUACGGCAAAGGGUUGAUGGUACUUUUCGUAUCAAUGGAUUGGCUGUGAAGUUGGGUUGGCCGCCGUCCAAAGCUUUGUCUAAUGACUGGAGAUUCGCUAAUUCGUCAUUGCUGAGAGGGACGUCCGUGCACCGCAUAUCAAUGCUCACGGAAUCGUUGUUGGUGUUGUUGUUGAUGGUUGUUUGAUCAGUGGAAACUGCUCCGACGGCGCCGCCUCCUUCCUCCGUGGACGACAUUUUCAGGGUGAGCGGUUGGAAGUAAUAAACAAGGUGAUUUUGUAAACUGUGCUUGGCUGAGUGAGUGAUGUUGGAGAAAAGGUGGCAAAAUGGCUACGAUGAUGGCAAAUAUUUUAUAGCUUACAUAAUAAACAUAUAUGGGAAAUACUUGAGGUGUAAUUUAAAUUUACCCCUUAGUGUUUAUAUUUUUACUAAUAUAAUUUUUAACUUUUAAUUUUUUAAUUAAAUUUAAUUUUCUUUUGAAAGAGUCAAUCUUAAAAAAGAAAAGUUAAAUUAAUGUUUUUUUAACAAAAAUAGUGACAAAUAUAAUAAUUGUCCUUAAGAAGUAAGACCCUAUGAUUGGGAGAAUUUUACAUUUUCAACACUUCUUAAAUUUCAUACACUUAAAAAUACCUCCAUGCUUCUUUACGUAUAAUAAUUGCAUUUGUUAUUCUACCUAACUCAUGAAAAAUCUCAAAUUUGCAACAAAAUAUUAUUCACAUGCCAACCAACCACUUUUUUUUUAUUGAAGUUAUUAUACUUAUAAGCUUUAUGCUUCUUGUAACAGAUUCGAUCUACAGGGCACUAUAGUUAUUGUCGGAGCAACUACAGUCAGAAUUACAAUAAGAUAAUUUUUAUUUAAACAUCAAUCAUGAUGCAAUUAAAGUAAUACAUCAAUUAUGAGCUUUAAUCGAGCUUACGAAAACUUUUUUGGCUGUCCGAGCAAGAAUUAGGACCAAACUGCAAAGUAAUUGCAUUUGUUAUUCUACCUAACUCAUGAAAUAUCUCAAAUUUGCCAACCAACCAAUAUAUCAUUCCAACCAACCAAUUUAUUAUUCACAUUCCAACUUUCUAAAUGCAUCAAAUAUUUCAUAUUCAUGUACUAACAAAGAUCAUGCCAAGAACCCACAUGCAGAGUCAUUAUAUACCACAUUUAACUCAACAAGACUUUUACACAACCAAAGAUUACUCCAAACGUUUAUAUGCAUGUCGCAAUCCUUGACUCAAAUGAUAAAAAAAAACACCAAAUUGACAAUAAAAUAGUGUAAGCUUCGAACGAUCCAAUCGACAUGUUCCACAAUGUAACACCUAAAAGGAAAAAGAAAACAAUGGGGUAAGCAUAUAAGAUGCUUAGGAAACUCAUAUGUAAUCUAAAACUUACCUAGAUUAAUUGAACAUAAACAAUUACUCAAUAAGCUAUCAAAUUUAUUUUUCCAUGGCACGUAGAUAUCGUAUAUGUAACAACAUUUCAAGUCAAAAAUGUUAAAUACAAUGUUGAAUCAUUAUGUCUUCUUUUCUUAAGUUUCACUUAUAGAAAUACAAUAUAGGUUCAAGUACAAAUAUAUGUCUCGAUUAAUCUAGAAAGAACUAGACAAAAUUCACAUAUGAUAUAGGCAUAUAAUGAGUGUGAGACUCACACAUCACAAUUGAGAAUAAUGUUAUAGAAAACCUUUGCGUUAAGCAAGAAGCUAAGACCCUAUCGGAGGGAGAAUUUUAUAUCUACAACACUUAUUAAAUUUCAUUAGCUUAAUAAUAGCUAUUCAAAUAUUUAACAUUGUAACCAUGCUUGUUUACAUAUCGUAAGCGCAUUUGUUAUUCUACCCAACUUAUGAAAAAUCUCAAAUUUGCAAUUUAUUAUUCACAUGCCAAACAACCAAUUUAUUAUUCACGUGCCAACCAAUUUGUUUUAUCGAAGUUAUUAUACUUAUAAGCUUUCACAUAUAACCAUGCUUCUUUACAUAUAUUAAUUGCAUUUAUUGUUGUACCUCAUGAAAAUUUUCAAAUUUGCAACAACAUAUUAUUCGCAUGCCAACCAACCACUUUUUUUUUAUUGAAGUUAUUAUACUUAUAAGCAUUCACAUUUAACCAUGCUUCUUGUAACACUUUUCAUUGGAUCCAAUCGUUGGGUCCGAUCUACAAGACGCUAUAGUCAUUGUCAAAGCAACUACAGUCGAAAUUACGAUAAGAUAAUUUUCAUUUAAACAUUAAGCAAGAUUCAACUACAGUAAUACAUUAAUUAUGAGUUUUAAUCGAGCUUACAAAAGCUUUUUUGGUAGUUCGAACAAGAAUUAGGACCAAACUAUAAAGAUUUGAAAAGUUUGGAGCGACGUCACAACUUCAGCUUUUCCUCAUCGCAACAUGACCAUCUCAGUAUGUCACAUCAUAUCGAAAAGCCUAUGCUCGUCGCGGCGAGACUCUUUGACUUGGCAAUGUCGCAAUGUCAAAAUUUGUAGCCGUUAUGUAAACCCUAUAUUUGACAAAAAUAUACAAUUUGGUACCUAAAUCAAAGCUCCAACUAAAAUCAUGCAAGAAAAAUACAUUACAUGCCAUUUCUAAAUGACUUAAAACUUACCUAAAACAUGCUAAGUAAGUUCAAACGUAUCAUUUCAAUUCCAUAGAAAUUCAUAAAACUUACCUAAAACAUGCUAAGUAAGUUCAAACAUAUCAUUUCAAUUCCAUAGCAAUUCAUAUUACCAUUUCAUCCAUUGUAUUCAACUUUUCAAUAACUUUAACUAAAUAUCAACAAGUUAUACAAACAUCUACCAUUACCUUUAUCAUGCCAUAAUGAAUCAUUUCAUUUCAAACAAUCAUCACAUUAGUUCUUUAAUUUUUCUUUUUUAGUCAACAUAUGCAAACCAACUUAAAUAGAUCACAUUCCAGCAUAGUCAACAAGACUUUUACACAACCAAAGAUUACUCCAAAAAUGUUUAUAUGCAUGUCACAAUCCUUCACUGAAAAUGAUAAAAAAAUCUACUAAAUUGACAAUAAAAUAGUUUAAGCUUUGAACGAUCCAACCGACGUGUUCUACAAGGUAACAACCUAAAAGAAACAAAAGAAACAACAGGAUAUACAUAUAAUAUGUUUAGUAAACUCAUAUGGAAACUAAAACUUACCUAGAUCAAUUGAACAUAAAAAAAUUACUCAAUAAGCUAUCGAAUUAAUUUUUCCUUGGCACUUAUAUACAUAUAGUACAUGUAACAACAUUUCAAGUCAAAAGUGUUAGAUACAAUGUUGAAUCAUAAUCCCGUCAACAUUUAAAACAUAAUCACAUAGCAAUCUAUAUAUCAAAUUUCAUCAAUACCAAUUCAUUUUCAAUUCAAGAUUUAAUUCCAUUUUCAACCAUUUAAUCAUCCUCUGAUGGAACUAUAGUAAAAAAGGUGCAUGGGAAUAUUUUGCUGAACUGACUCACACAAGUUGACUUUAUAUUAGAAUUGUUCACACACGUUAACUUUGUAAUUUAUAUUAUGUAAAAUUUAAGAUUUUUAUAUUAUGUAAAUCAAAGCUUAAUUAGUAUAGAAUUUUCAAAAUAAUAUGGCUGUAUAAAGAUAAAAUUCUUGAUAUAAGUCUCAACAAGGGAAAAAUUAAGGAUAGAAAAAUUGUGGUGGAAAGGGGAUCAAUUUCUCCUAAACAGGUGGAGAGCCGGAGAAUGAUAAGUGAAGGAAGAUGGUUGAUGUGAAGGCUAAGAGUAAUUGUUAAAGGUUACUAACAGGGGAAGAUCCCUUUCUCAUGAAGAUGAUUUUUAAACACCAUGUUAAUUGUUUAUGGGCCAUCAUGUUUGACGAUAAUUUUUAAAUACCUUGUUAAUUGUAUAUAGUACAUCAUGUUUGGCAAUGAUUUUUAAAGACUUUUAAACGUCACAUUAAUUGUUUAAUUGUUUAUGGCCCAUUGCCCAUGUUACUUUUAUUAAAUUUUGGGUAAACUACAAUUUAAUCACUUAAUUUUUAUAAAAUUUCAUUUUGGUCAUAAAAAAAUUGUAUGGAAUGAGAGUCUCAGGAUAAAACAAAAAUUAGGAUAAAUGUAAUGCUGAAAUGAAUAUAGUGGGAAUCUUUAAUGUUUAUGGCCAAACCCCACCUCUCCUAUCCUAUACUUCAUCUAUAAUAAUGGUUCUUGGCUUCUUCUAUCCUAUACCUCAAUUAUUUGGAUUAGAUUGAAAAACAAUUGACACUUGAUUUGAUUGUGAAAGAAGUUUUAGUUUAAUGAUAUGAAUGAGUUAAAUUUUAAAUUUAUAAUAUUUAACUUGAGUGUGAAUGAAUUUUUGACUUAAUUGAAAAUUUAAAAUUUUAGCUUCGAGUCUUAUUUAAUUAUGUGAGUAUAUCAUAUAUAAAUUUUGUUUAAAUUUAUUUUGAUUUAAUUCUCAUACUAUAUAAACUUUAUUCUUAAUUAAAUUUAGAUAUAUUCUAAUUAUCAAUUUAAUCAUAUAUUGUAACGAUGAAUUAGGAUUAUAGUUAAUUAUAUAUUGAAACAAAAUAAUGAGUUUAAGGAAUUAAAAGAUAUUAUUAUAUUUUAUAAAAAUUGAAUAGAUUAAUAAUUAAUUCGAGAUUAAAAAAUUGUCUAUCUUUAUUUCGCCCCUCAGUUUAAUUUAUUAUUUUCCCUAAUUUUAAAUCCAAAUAAUAAGGAGAAGAAAAAGAUAAAAGCAAACCUUUUUUACGGUCUGAACUAAACCCCAUGGGGUGUGGAAAAUUGCAAGUUUCCAGAAUAACGAAGUUCAGUUUUCGUCGGUGUUUCUAUGUGACUGUGUUUCUAUGGUAAGGAAUGGUGUAAAAAAGUUUACGGUUUAAGGUUUUGUUAUAUACGGAAGGAAAGCGCCUUUCAAGAUUAUUAGUAGCACUUAUUCUCGUGUUGUGUUUUGUAUUGAGUUGUACCUUUUUUUAGUGUAUGUAUUGUGGACCUGUGGUACAAGUUUAGUUCUUUUGAGUGUCUUGUGAUGUUAAGUAUGUUUUGUUGGGGCUCUUGGCUCCUAUGAUAAUAAAAUAUAUUUCAAGCAUAGUACUUUUUUUAUAUUUAAAAUUUAAUAUUAUACUUUUAUUUUAAGGUAAUCUCUCUACUACAACAAUGUUUAAUAUUAAUAUGAACUCAUGUUGCGAUUUACUAUUACCAACUAAUUGGAAUGCAACAUCUAUUUAAACUUCAACAUGAAACUAAAUUCUUCUAUAUAAACUAGAAAAAUAUCAUUAGUUCUUAAGUAAUUUCACCUCAAUCCAAUGACCAUUGUAUAGUCUCAAUUUUAUUCGGCCCAAACAAAUAAAAAGUCCAUUAACAGUCGCGGCAAGACUCUCUGACUUGGCAAUGUCGCAAUGUCAAGAUUCGUAGCCGUGAUGUGAACCCUAUAUUUGACAAAAAUAUACAAUUUGGUACCUAAUUCAAAGCUCCAACUAAAAUCAUGUAAAUGACUUAAACUUACCUAAAACAUGCAAAGUAAGUUCAAACAUAUCAUUUCAAUUCCAAAGCAAUUCAUAUUACCAUUUCAUCAAUGAAUCAUUCCAUUUCAAACAAUCAUCACAUUAGUUCUUUCAUUUUUUCCAUUUUAGUCAACAUAUGCAAACCAACUUAAAUAGAUCACAUUCCAACUUUCCAAAUACCAAGCUAAGACCCUAUCAGAGGGAGAAUGUUACAGCUACAACACUUCUUAAAUUUCAUUAGCUUAAUAAUAGCUAUUCAAAUAGUUAACAUUGUAACCAUGCUUCUUUACAUGUAGUAAUUGCAUUUGUUAUUCUACCUAGCUUAUGAAAAAUCUCAAAUUUGCAAUUUAUUAUUCACAAGCCAAACAACCAAUUUAUUAUUCCAACCAACCAAUUUAUUAUUCACAUGCCAACCAAUUUGUUUUAUUGAAGUUAUUAUACUUAUAAGCUUUCACAUAUAACCAUGCUUCUUUACAUAUAUUAAUUGCAUUUAUUGUUGUACCUCAUGAAAGAUUUUCAAAUUUGCAACAUAUUAUUUGCAUACCAACCAACCACUUUUUUUUUAUUGAAGUUAUUAUACUUAUAAGCUUUCACAUGUAACCAUGCUUCUUGUAACACAUUUCAUUGGAUCCGAUUGUUGGGUCCGAACUAUAGGAUGCUACAGUCAUUGUCAAAGCAACUACAGUCAGAAUUAUGAUAAGAUAAUUUUCAUUUAAACAUCAAUCACGAUUCAAUUACAGCAAUACAUUAAUUAUGAGCUUUAAUCGAGCUUACGAAAGCUUUUUUGGCAGUCUGAACAAGAAUUAGGACCAAACUGUAAAUUGGCUAAAUUUACUUAUAUCCACCAAAUUAUUAAAAUUUUAAAAUAUAUUCAAAAAAUUAGGACAAACAUUGGAUGAAACCACAAGGGAAAUUACAAACAGGAUCAAAUUGAAAGAAAAGCAAAAUGACAUGGAAGGAGUAAAAGAAGAGAUGGCUAAAUUGCCUGAAAAUUUAGCACCUAUAUUAAGCAACAUUGAUGAUAAAACACAUAGGAUGGAACCUAACUCAUGAAAAAUCUCAAAUUUGCAACCCCAUAUUAUUCACAUGCCAACCAACCAAAUUUUUUUGUCCUUUUUAGGGUCUACAAGACAGGUAGCAACCAUUAUUGAAGAAUUAGUCACGUUUUAAAUAUUUUCUUCUAAGUAAGCACAACGACAUUAAGAAAUUUACUUUUUAGAGUCUGUAUAAGGAAAGGGCCUUAGGAUUUGCUACUGCCACACUCGCUUCAGCAACAAUCGCUUCUAAUUUUCAGUCUGAGCGGUUCGAAGUAAUUAACUAGGUGAUUUUGUAGACUGUUUUUGGCUGAGUGAGUGAUGUUGGAAAAAAGGUGGCAAAAUGGCUACGAUAACGACAAAUGUUUCUAUAGCUUAUAUAAUAAACAUAAGGAAAAUAUUUUUGGUGUAAUAUCAAAUUUCGCUUCUAAUUUUUAUUAUUUUCAAUUUGAUUUUUAUUUUUUAGUAAAAUUUAGCUUUUUACUUUUGAAAGAGUUAAAUUGAUUAUCAAUCCUUAAACUGAAUUAAUAUUUUUCAAAAAUAAUGACUAAAAUAUUAAAUUUUAAACAUGAUAACUCAUAUGACAAUUCACGUGUACAUUUUUUAUUAUUAUUUUAAAAUUAUUUAUUGACAUAGCAUAUAAGAAAAUGAUUAUUAUGUUAGCAUGAAGUGCAUAUGGAUUGUCACACGAGUUGUAACACCAACAACGUAAAAAAUUAAUAUUUUAAUCAAUAUUUCUGUUAAAGAAAAGCAAUUUGACUUUUUUUUUGAAAGGUUCAUAGCUAAAUUUAGCUUAAAUAAUAAUAAUAAUGAUAAAAAAUAAAAGUCAAUUUGACAGAAAAUGUAAAUGUGGAGGACUAAAUUUAUUAUUAUGUCAUUUUUCUAAGUUUCACUUAUAAAAAUACAAUAUAGGUCCAAGUACAAAUAUGUGUCUGGAUUAAUCUAGAAAGAACUAGACAAAAUCUAUACAUGAUAUACGCAUAGAUGAGAGUGAGACCCAUUUUUAUAUCUACAACACUUCUUGAAUUUCAUACUCUUAAUACUAGCUUUUUUGUUGUUUGUUUCGCUUCAUUUGAUCUGUUUUGUUGUAAAAAAACAUAAAGAAAAACAUUCAAAAGUUUAACGUUAUAACAUUCCAAAAGAAAACACAUUCAAUAACUAACAUAUCUUGUAUUCUUGUAUUCUUUGAUCAAAUAGUGCAAGUGUAUUUAUACAGACUUUUGGAGGGUAACUACUGAACUGCUACUAACAACUUUUUAGCAGAAAGUUUAACAACUUAACCACCUAACAGAUUGCAUUUACCUAUGCUCUAAGAUUCUGUAAUGCGAAAUCAUACUUCAAAUUGUAAUUAUUACUUCAUAACAAUACAAGAUUUUCGUUACAAUGCUAGGAUUACUUAUAAACCUCAACCAUUAAAUGAGAGGAUAAAGACACUUUAAUAAGUUCGAAUCUUCGUCCUUUUGUAUUGACAAUAAUACUGAUAUCAAUCGAACUAAAACUCAGUAUAACAAUGGUUAAAUGAAUUUUAAGUACACAUAUUACUCUUACUAUGUAAGUAUUUAGGAUAAAUCACCCUCCAUGGUCAAACAAAUGGACCCAGGCUAUAAUUUGUAUAUAAAAAAAAUUAAAAAGCAUUAGUAAAACAAAUGGACCCAGGCUAUAAUCACCCUCCACUCAUUAACAAUUGUCAUCACAGGCUUAAUGUGGCAUGUUAACUAAUUGAUGUGACUAGUUAACUUGCCACGUUGGACAAGUAGUCAAAGGGUCAAAAAGAAAAAAAGAUGAUUGGUUAAGGGUAAAAAGAAAAAUAAGAGAAAUGAAGAAGAAGAAGAAGAAGAAGAAAAGAAGAACAGGGAAGGAAGAAGGGAAAAUGGAAGUAAAAGGGUCAAAAAGAAAAGAAAAGAUGAUUGGUUAAGGGUAAAAAGAAAAAUAAGAGAAAUCGAGAAGAAGAAAAAAUGAAGAACAGGGGAGGAAGAAGGGAAAAUGGAAGGAGCUUCCAAGCUUCAUACCAACGAUUCCCAAGGGUCAAAAUCUGGGAACUUGGAUUUUGAUCCUUGGGAAUCACUGUUACGAAGUCCUUCCAUUUUCUCCUUUUCUUCUUUUUCUCCAUUUAUUCUCUUAUUCUUCUUUUUUUUUUGUUCUUCUACUGCCCAAACUUCUUAAAUGGGUUUGUUUAAAUGACAGCUAGCCUACCCUUAAAUGCCAUUCACUUUUUCGUUACGUUUUGUUAAAAAGAUUGUUUAAAUGACAGAAAAUGGUUAAAAAGAUUGUUUUGUUAGCUACCCCAAAAUUGAGUGAUUGUUGCUGUAAUUUACCCCAUUUCUUAUUUGAAAUUGUAAAUUUUUAACAAGCUAAAUUUAAGGUUUUCAAAAUUCAACUCAUUAAGUUAUCGAUUUAUAAGUCUAAUUGGUUUGACGAAUUCAUCCGAUUAAUUAAAUUAAUUAUUAAAAAUUUUUGAUUUGAUUGCCCAAUUCAAUUAGUUUUUUUUUGGUUCAACCUGUUCAUAUAGAUUCCCAAGUCGAUUGGUCCAAUGAUUUCCUUCGGACUAAUACCUUAAUUAAUUUCCAAUCCAAAUCGAUUCAAAUAAUAUUAACUAAAAUACAAUUUUUAUUAUUUUAUUAAUGCAAAAAUUUUACCAUUUUAAAGAUAUUAAAAUAUAAAAUUUCUAUUUUAAAAAGUUGGAUUUGAAAUCAUAAUUUUUUUCCUAAAGAAAUGUACACUCAACAGGACCAAAGGAAUUCACAGGGAAAUUUUGUUUUAUGGACAGUCUUCAUCACAAAUGAUCCUAUCAAAUUAAAAGAGGAUAUAUCACCUUUUUUUCAUAUCAUAUAUACAUUGGGACUAAACUUCUAAAUAAAAAAUGAUGUGUCUUUUUUUAAUUGAGUGGGACCAUAGAUGAUGUGGUGAAAAUGGUCCAUUAAAUAAUUUAUCACAAGCAAGAGUAAUUCCAAAAAUAGAAAACUACAUUUUAAUUCUUUAAAAAUUAUUAAAUUAUAAAUUUAUAUAUUAUAAAAUUACACUUUGAUCCUCAAAAUGGAAAAAAUAUUUUGUUCAGUCUUUGACCACACCUAAUAAAAAGGAUUGGUGGUGACUCCAUUUUCGUUUUUUAAAUAAAAAGUCAAUUCCCAAAAAAAAGAUUUCGACAACCAUCACUUGGAUAACUUUGGUUAUCAGCUCAUGACACUUAGAGCUAUACAAUAUAUUUGGUGUUUGGCACAAUAUGGCAUACAUAGUAGUUUUCACUACUAAAAGAUAUGGUGCCUUACUCAUUCUUCUCUUAUCUUCCAAAGUUUUAGGAUUCAUAUCAUUCGAGUGAUGUACACUGUCAAUACUAUUUUUUUUGUAAAAGAGGUCGACUUUUUGUUUAAAAAUGAAAAUGGAGUCACCACCAAUCCUUUUUAUUUAGGUGUGAUAGGAUCACCUCGUAAUUUAAUCAUUUUAAUAAAAGUUUAAAUUUACUAAAAAAAUAAGUAAGUUAGUUUCUAUACAUCAGAUCAAAGAGCAAAUUGAUCAUUUUAUUACAUUUUUAAUCUUUUUCUAUCAUUAAAAAUUGAUUCAUAUACAUAAGUUUGAGGUACAGUGUCACGUCACAUGUUAUGAUUUGGUUAUUCCGUUAGUCACACCAGUUUUUAACAUUACAAAUAGAUGAAAAUUUUAACAGAAAUGACCAAGUUACUUUUUGAUCUAACAUAUAGGGACUAAUUUACUCAUUUUUCAAUAUAGAGAGCAAAAUGUAAUUCAACUCAAUGUACAAGGACUGUUAUUUUUUUUUCCAAUUUCACAUUAUUUUAUCAUAUUAUAUAUAUUGUUAGGAUCGUCCCGAUUAAGCAACGAACAAGUAAAAAUAGUAGAAGAAAUUGAGAAGAUGAACACACAAAUUUAACGUGGAAAAACCCCUCAAAAGAGGAUAAAAAACCACGGGCAAAGAUAAUUUUACUAUAAUGGCAAAAGAAUGAAGAGUACAAAAGAUGGAGAUAAAAACUAAACCCCGAAAACUCGAAAAACAAAGAACCCUCAAACGUAAACACAAAAUUCUCUGAAUGUGUUAUGAGUUCUAAUCUAAUGGGUGUCUCUUUUUAAUUCUAAGAUUGUAAAGGAGCCUAUUUAUAGGCUAAAUUAGUAAGUCAAAUAAACUAUACUAAUAAAUGCUAAAUAUAUUAUACUAAUAAAUACUAAAUCUUCUAGAAAGAAAAUAUAUUUUUGUUUAACUUGACUUGCAAGCAAUCUCUUAGAAUUUGGGUCACACAAUUCUAACAAUCUCCACCUUGACACGAAUUCUUUCAAUGCCAUCUUUGCCAAAACCCGCCACGAGCCUAUCUUGAACUAUGCAGGGAAUUAACUGAGUCGAAUCUAUGCUUAGAAGCUAGAAGACUUCUAGCCUUCGACUUGUGCACUGCCAAAUCAAAACUAACCCGGGUCUGAUUUUCACGAAUACAGUGCCCUAACUUUUCAAAACCUGCAUCCAAAAGAGAACCUCUCUUCAACGAAACGGUCAUACCUUUUUCCCUCCUAUGACCAAGUUGCCUCCGCUUCAAAUGAGUUGACUUUGACUCCGUAACGGACGAGGGACGUCCGAUUUCACCGGUCACUGUAGAACCUUCCAGAAUAUAAAGACUGCCGGUUCUUUUACCUUUUAACAAAACGAGAGCUCCACGAGAUACUUUAAUGUCGCUCGACUCGAUGUUGAUUCUGCAUCCUUUCAAGUCUAAAAUACUCAAGGAGAUGAGAUUCUUUCGUAAAUCGGGUACAUACCUGACAUCUGAGAGUGUCCUAAUCGUCCCAUCGUGUAUCCUAAUUUUAACAGUACCAAUACCGAUUAUUUUACUAGAUGAAUCGUUUCCCAUGUGCACAACUCCACCUUCAACUGAACUGUAUGUGGAGAACCAUUCUCUAUUGGGACACAUGUGGAAAGAACAUCCUGAAUCUAGGAUCCACUCAGACGUAAGCUUGGAGUUAUCGCUCGUUGACACUAACAAGAAAUCAUCACCGCCUUCAUCGACCAAAUUAGCACCAGCUACAUCUUCCUCGUUACUCUCAGCAGCUCUUUUAUUUCGCAGUUUAAAACAAUCUGCUUUGACGUGACCUAACUUUUUGCAAUAGCGACACCUUUUGUCUCGUUUCUUUGAUGCUACCAAAACGGAAGCUUGUCUAUCUGCUUUGCUAUUCAAAUCAAACUCAUUGUCGAGUUUGUCUCUACUCAACAAAUAACCUUUCACAUCUUCAAACGAGAGUUUGUCUCUGCCAUAAAUCAGGGUCUCCCUGAAAGACUUGUAUGAAGAGGGUAAAGAGCACAAUAAUAGCAUAGCUUGAUCUUCAUCGUCAAUAUGAACCUCAACGUUCUUUAAAUCAUUUAAAAGAGUAAUGAAUUGAUUGAUGUGAUCUUUAAGAAGCUCACCUUCGUUCAUGCGAAACGUAAAUAGACGUUGUUUCAACACUAAACGGUUAGCCAGAGACUUAGUCGCAUAAAGAGUUUCUAACCUUUUCCACAAGGCGAAUGAGGUCUUCUCCAUCAAUACCUCCUGCAAUACUGUAUUCGCGAGACACAACUGGAUUGCAGACAAGGCCUUUUCAUCAAGCUCUUCCCAUUUUGUUUGAUUUAGAUUCUCAGGCUUUUUCCCUGUAACAACCUUUUUCAAGCCAUUUUGAACUAGAAUUGCCAUCAUCCGAACUUGCCACAGAUUGAAAUUUGUCUCACCAUCGAACUUCUCAAUUUCAAACCUUGUUGCUGCCAUCUCUGACCGGGCUGAUCUAUGAAAGUUAAACUAUCUCUGAUACCACUUGUUAAGAUCGUCCCGAUUAAGCAACGAACAAGUAAAAAUAGUAGAAGAAAUUGAGAAGAUGAACACACAAAUUUAACGUGGAAAAACCCCUCAAAAGAGGAUAAAAAACCACGGGCAAAGAUAAUUUUACUAUAAUGGCAAAAGAAUGAAGAGUACAAAAGAUGGAGAUAAAAACUAAACCCCGAAAACCCGAAAAACAAAGAACCCUCAAACGUAAACACAAAAUUCUCUGAAUGUGUUAUGAGUUCUAAUCUAAUGGGUGUCUCUUUUUAAUUCUAAGAUUGUAAAGGAGCCUAUUUAUAGGCUAAAUUAGUAAGUCAAAUAAACUAUACUAAUAAAUGCUAAAUAUAUUAUACUAAUAAAUACUAAAUCUUCUAGAAAGAAAAUAUAUUUUUGUUUAACUUGACUUGCAAGCAAUCUCUUAGAAUUUGGGUUACACAAUUCUAACAUAUAUAUAUUAGCAUACGCCUAUCAUGCAAAUGGUAUAAUGUCCAGAUUAUCUGGUCUUUGAUUUCAUUUGUCAAUUAAUGAUUGUGGAUUGACAAUAUUGACCAUUUUAUGCACGGGGACUACUCAUCUACUCCUCUUCUGCCAUUCUCACUACCCAUUUGCAUUCAUUUUCUCUGCCCUACUGCUCCUCUGCAGUGCACUCUCCAAUUGCAUUUAAAGACAAUAUAUACGUAUAGAUUGUAAAUUUUCUUGGCUGGAAGCUCACUGUAAGCCAAAAUCAAAACAAACUUUUGAUGGUUUAAUUGUUUUUUAGCCCUUCAAUUUCAGGUGCUAUGAGAAAUGGAUUACAACCUCAUCUUGUCAUUAUCCCAAAAUCAAAACAAGCAACUCUUGGUUGAAAGUUGAAACCAAGAGCCAAGUCAAAAUUGUUUUAGGAUGAGUCCAAAAUGAAUAAUGAAUUUGAAGGUUCAAAAUAAAAUUUUAUUAUUAUAUUAAUUUAUAAUUUCAUAAAUUUUAAAAGGAUUAAAUAAUAAAUUUACUAAUUUAAGAAGACAAUAGGGAUGAUCAAAUCUAAUUGAACCUAUCAGCGAUCGGAUCGGGAUGGAUUUUUUAAAUUUAAAAAAUUAAAUAGAUUGAAUCGAAAAUCUAGGAGUUACAAAAUUCUCAUAAAUAACAAGAGUUUACAAAAAGAACACUUACUUUGGUUGAUGUAUGGUAUAAUAAGUCUGCAAAGCACCGAUAAAAAGUGCAGCAAUGGCACCCACAAAUGCGAAAAACGUCCAACGAGUCCUAAAAAAAGUACGGUAAACUUGAGCUGGAUAUCUAAUCCACAGAUUGUUUUGAUGAUCAUGUAUUUUCCGUUUAACCCCACUGUAAAUCAUCGGACUAGGAACCAAACCAGUGUUCAUCUUGUUGAAAAGCUUAGCCACUUCUUUAUCACUCCCCAAUCUAUUGUAUAAUAUGCCGACGUCUCUCAGUUCCUUAACAUCUUCGGCUUCAUCGAUCAAUGAACCAAGGAAACACAUAUAUGAAGUGACGGCGAAAUCGUUCUGGAAAUCCGGACACAUUUCGUAAGCUAUUAAGUUCAUGGUUGAAUCAUCGACGGAGAUCGGCGGUAAACAUAAUUUUCCGACGAAUAAGAUACGGUUGAAACUGAUGUCGGUUAAAUAACUUGUUUCGCUUGCUUCUAACCAUAUCCCGGUGUUUUUAAGCUCUUUUACGUUAUGAAUGGUGUGUGAAUGGCACCGUUUUGUUCUUUCUUCUUUUCUAUCUUCGUGUUCAAUGCAAAACGGAAAACACCACCGCCGUAGUUUUUCUAUUUUGAAAAGGAGUCUUUUAUGAAUUCCCCACCCCCGUGGUUUUUCUUUUUUGAAAAGGAGUCUUACUCGUAGUAGAUGCAAUAAGUGAAUUGGCGUUCCUUCUUGCUGCGGCCACCAGUCACUAGAGCCAAAUCUGUGUUAGUCAGGAGCCAGCUAAAAUCAAGGUUUUCAAUGGUUGAAUCAAAUCAUUAUUAUUUUAAUAAAAAAUUAUUUAAAUUAUUAAAUUACAUUUUAAACCUUUUAAAAAUUAUUAAAUUAUAAAUUUAUAUACAAUAAAAUUAUACUUUGACUCCUCAAAAUGAAUAAAAAAUUGUUCAAACACUUUUGAAAAAUGAUGAAAUUAUAAAUUAAUACAUAAAAAAAAUCUAAGAAUCAAACCAAACUUGUGGAUCGGCCUAAUUAGAUAGAGAAUCGAGCAAGGUACUGAUCCAGAAUAAUAAGUUAAAUCCAUUGAAUCCAAUCAUCGAAUCGAUUUUUUAUAUAUUUUUAAUAUUUUUAAAAAUUUAUAUAUAUAAUUAAACUGAAUGAACUUAUCAACUAGAAAUGAGAGUCUAAUAGAUUCCAUCACCCAUCUAGUUAUAAAAACCUUUUAACUUUUAUAAACUCCACAAAAAUGGUUAAAAAGACUGUUUUGCCAGCUACCCCAAAGUUGAGUGAUUGUUGCUGUAAUUUACCCCAUUUCUUAUUUGAAAUUGUAAAUUUUUAACAAGCUAAAUUUAAGGUUUUCAAAAUUCAACUCGUUAAGUUAUCGAUUUAUAAGUCUAAUUGGUUUGACGAAUUCAUCCGAUUAAUUAAAUCAAUUAUUAAAAAUUUUCGAUUUGAUUGCCCAAUUCAAUUAGUUUUUUUUUUGGUUCAACCUGUUCAUAUAGAUUCCCAAGUCGAUUGGUCCAAUGAUUUCCUUCGGACUAAUACCUUAAUUAAUUUCCAAUCCAAAUCGAUUCAAAUAAUAUUGGCUAAAAUACAAUUUUUAUUAUUUUAUUAAUGCAAAAAUUUUACCAUUUUAAAGAUAUUAAAAUAUAAAAUUUCUAUUUUAAAAAGUUGGAUUUGAAAUCAUAAUUUUUUUUCUAAAGAAAUGUACACUCAACAGGACCAAAGGAAUUGGCAGGGAAAUUUUGUUUUAUGGACCGUUUUCAUCACAAAUGAUCUUAUCAAAUUAAAAGAGGAUAGAUCAUCUUUUUUUUCAUAUCAUAUAUACAUUGGGACUAAACUUCCAAAUAAAAAAUAAUGUGUCUUUUUUUAAUUGAGUGGGACCAUAGAUGAUGUGGUGAAAAUGGUCCAUUAAAUAAUUUAUCACAAGCAAGAGUAAUUCCAAAAAUAGAAAAUUACAUUUUAAUUCUUUAAAAAUUAUUAAAUUAUAAAUUUAUAUAUUAUAAAAUUACACUUUGAUCCUCAAAAUGGAAAAAAUAUUUUGUUCAGUCUUUUUUUUUUAAAAAAAUAUGAACUUAUAAAUCAAUACAUGAAAAAAUUUAAGCGUCAGGCUAGUUGGAAAGAAAAGAUGAUUGGUUAAGGGUAAAAAGGAAAAUAAGAGAAAUGGAAAAGAAGAAGAAAAGAAGAACAGGGGAGGAAGAAGGGAAAAUGGAAGGAGCUUCCAAGCUUCAUACCAACGAUUCCCAAGGGUCAAAAUCUGGGAAUUUGGAUUUUGAUCCUUGGGAAUUACUGUUACGAAGUCCUUCCAUUUUCUCCUCUUCUUCUUUUCUUCUUUUUCUCCAUUUCUUCUCUUAUUCUUCUUCUUUUUUUUUGUUCUUCUACUGCCCAAACUUCUUAAAUGGGUUUGUUUAAAUGACAGCUAGCCUACCCUUAAAUGUCAUGUCACUUUUUCGUUACGUCUGUAACGAAAAAUGGUUAAAAAGACUGUUUUGUCAGCUACCCCAAAGUUGAGUGAUUAUUGCUAUAAUUUACCCUAUUUCUUAUUUGAAAUUGUAAAUUUUUAACCAGCUAAAUUUAAGGUUUUCAAAACCCAACUCGUUAAGUUAUCGAUUUAUAAUUCUAAUUGGUCUAAUGAAUUCAUCCGAUUAAUUAAAUUAAUUAUUAAAAAUUUUCCAUUUGAUUGCCCAAUUCAAUUAAUUUUUUUUGGUUCAACCUGUUCAUAUAGAUUCCCAAAUCAAUUGGUCCAAUGACUUCCUUCAGACUAAUACCUUAAUUAAUUUCCAAUCCAAAUCGAUUCAAAUAAUAUUGGCUAAAAUACAAUUUUUAUUAUUUUAUUAAUGCAAAAAUUUUACCAUUUUAAAGAUAUUAAAAUAUAAAAUUUCUAUUUUAAAAAGUUGGAUUUGAAAUCAUAAUUUUUUUUCUAAAGAAAUGUACACUCAACAGGACCAAAGGAAUUGGCAGGGAAAUUUUGUUUUAUGGACCGUUUUCAUCACAAAUGAUCUUAUCAAAUUAAAAGAGGAUAGAUCAUCUUUUUUUUCAUAUCAUAUAUACAUUGGGACUAAACUUCCAAAUAAAAAAUAAUGUGUCUUUUUUUAAUUGAGUGGGACCAUAGAUGAUGUGGUGAAAAUGGUCCAUUAAAUAAUUUAUCACAAGCAAGAGUAAUUCCAAAAAUAGAAAAUUACAUUUUAAUUCUUUAAAAAUUAUUAAAUUAUAAAUUUAUAUAUAAUAAAAUUACACUUUGACCCUCAAAAUGGAAAAAAUAUUUUGUUCAAUCUUUUUAAAAAAAUAUGAACUUAUAAAUCAAUACAUGAAAAAAUUUAAGGAUUCGACAAAACUUAUCGGUCAGGCUAGUUGUUGAGAAAAUUGAACAAGAUAUUGAUCCAGAAUAAGAGAUUAGAUUAGAUGAAUUGAGUCAUCGAAUGGAUUUUCUUUAUAUGUUUAAUAUAUCUUUAAUAUUUUCAAAAACUUAUAUAACUGAAUCGAAUAAACUAAUCAAUCAAAAUUAAGAGUAAUCAAUGUAAAAACCUUUUAACAUUUAUAACCUCGACAAAAUGAUUUUUUUAUUUAUUUUUAAAUUCCUUAAAUUACCUGUCCUCGGCUGGGGUGAUAACAGUGUCGUCGAUGAACCUUUUGACUGCAUUCAUGAACUUUUCGCCAUCACUCGAGCUUGUAAGCAAUUCAAGAACACGAAAAGGUAUUUGGUUCUCCAACAAUAACAGAUCCGAGUACACAAAUGUCAGCAAAUCGUUUUUAAUAAACAACCGGUCAUAUUCAGAAGAAAUAUCAUCACCGUAACGCAUAUAAACUGCUUGUAAAAUUGCGCAGCCGUCAACGAAGAACAUCCAAGCCAGUUCCUCGUCAUCGUCGCUAUAGUUCGCUAAUUCCUGUGGAUCAUAGCAUUUCUUUAAGUCAUCGAUCUCUGCCUUCAUGUUGCUGUACUCCUCAUUGUCGUCAAUGUUUCUGACGAAAUGUGCUGCUAAUUUGAGCUUGAGAUCAUUGGAUUCUUGGAGGGUGCCAUCAUCGUGGUGGAGUGGGCCGAUUGAGAUCACUUUCGGCUUGAAAUACUUCUUGAAAUCUUCGUUACGGCUAAGGGUUGAUGGGACUUUUCGGAUCAAUGGAUUGCAUGUGCCGUUGGAAGCUUUGACUAAUGACGCGAGAUUCGCUAAUUCGCCCUUCCAGCGUAGCAAGUCAAUACGAAUGCUCACGAAAUCGUUGUUGUUGGUGAUUGUUUGAUCAGUGGAAACUGCUCCGACGGCGCCGCCUCCUUCCUCCGUGGACGGCAUUUUCAGGCUGAGCGGUUGGAAGUAAUAAAGAAGGUGAUUUUGUAAACUGUUUUUGGCUGAGUGAGUGAUGUUGGAGAAAAGGUGGCAAAAUGGCUACGAUGAUGACAAAUAUUUUAUAGCCUACAUGAUAAACAUAUAUGGGAAAUACUUAAGGUGUAAUUCAAAUUUACCCCUUAGUGUUUAUAUUUUUAUUAAUAUAAUUUUAAUUUUUUAAUUAAAUUUAAUUCUCUUUUGAAAGAGUCAAUGAUAAAAAAGAAAAGUUAAAUUAAUAUUUUUUAACAAAAAUAGUAAUAAAUAUUAAAAUUAAGAAUAAUAUUAUAGAACCUAAAUACUCAACACAACCCAAAACCUUCGCCUUAACCAAGAAACUAAUACUUCCUAAAUUUCAUUAGCUUAAUAAUAGCUAUUCAAAUAUAUUUUUUCAUUGUAUUACUUAAAUUAUUAUUACUUACUUUAACAUUUAAAUUAUCAUUAUAUUACAUGAUUAGUUCCAAAUAUUUAACAUUGUAACUAUGCUUCUUUAAAUAUAGUAAUUGCAUUUGUUAUUCACAUGUUAUUCACAUGCCAACCAACCAAUUUAUUAUUCACAUUCCUAACUUUCUAAAUGCAUCAAAUAUUUCAUAUUCAUGUACUAACAAAGAUCAUGCCAAGAACCCACAUGCAGAGUCAUUAUAUACCACAUUUAACUCAACAAGACUUUUACAUAACCAAAGAUUACUCCAAACGUUUAUACGCAUGUCGCAAUCCUUGACUCAAAUGAUAAAAAAAAAAACACCAAAUUGACAAUAAAAUAAUGUAAGCUUCGAACGAUCCAAUCGACAUGUUCCACAAUGUAACACCUAAAAGGAAAAAGAAAACAAUGGGGUAAGCAUAUAAGAUGCUUAGUAAACUCAUAUGUAAUCUAAAACUUACCUAGAUUAAUUGAACAUAAAAAUUACUGAAUAAUCUAUCAAAUUUAUUUUUCCAUGGCACGUAGAUAUCGUAUAUGUAACAACAUUUCAAGUCGAAAAUGUUAAAUACAAUGUUGAAUCAUUAUGUCUUCUUUUCUUAAGUUUCACUUAUAGAAAUAUAAUAUAGGUUCAAGUACAAAUAUAUGUCUCGAUUAAUCUAGAAAGAAUUAGACAAAAUUCACAUAUGAUAUACGCAUAUAAUGAGUGUGAGACUCACACAUCACAAUUGAGAAUAAUGUUAUAGAACCUAAAUACUCAACAACCCAAAACCUUUGCGUUAAGCAAGAAGCUAAGACCCUAUCGGAGGGAGAAUUUUAUAUCUACAACACUUCUUAAAUUUCAUUAGCUUAACAAUAGCUAUUCAAAUAUUUAACAUUGUAACCAUGCUUCUUUACAUAUAGUAAUUGCAUUUGUUAUUCUACCCAACUUAUGAAAAAUCUCAAAUUUGCAAUUUAUUAUUCACAUGCCAACCAACCAAUUUAUUAUUCACGUGCCAACCAAUUUGUUUUAUCGAAGUUAUUAUACUUAUAAGCUUUCACAUAUAACCAUGCUUCUUUACAUAUAUUAAUUGCAUUUAUUGUUGUACCUCAUGAAAAUUUUCAAAUUUGCAACAACAUAUUAUUCGCAUGCCAACCAACCUCUUUUUUUUUAUUGAAGUUAUUAUACUUAUAAGCAUUCACAUUUAACCAUGCUUCUUGUAACACUUUUCAUUGGACCCAAUCGUUGGGUCCGAUCUACAAGACUCUACAGUCAUUGUCAAAGCAACUACAGUCGAAAUUACGAUAAGAUAAUUUUCAUUUAAACAUCAAGCAAGAUUCAACUACAGUAAUACAUUAAUUAUGAGUUUUAAUCGAGCUUACAAAAGCUUUUUUGGUAGUCCGAACAAGAAUUAGGACCAAACUAUAAAGAUUUGAAAAGUUUGGAGCGACGUCGCAACUUCAGCUUUUCCUCAUCGCAACAUGACCAUCUCAGUAUGUCACAUCAUAUCGAAAAGCCUAUGCUCAUCGCAGCGAGACUCUCUGACUUGGCAAUGUCGCAAUGUCAAGAUUCGUAGCCGUGAUGUGAACUCUAUAUUUGACAAAAAUAUACAAUUUGGUACCUAAUUCAAAGCUCCAACUAAAAUCAUGCAAGAAAAAUACAUUACGUGCCAUUUCUAAAUGACUUAAAACUUACCUUAAACAUGCUAAGUAAGUUUAAACAUAUCAUUUCAAUUCCAUAGCAAUUCAUAUUACCAUUUCAUCAAUUGUAUUCAACUUUUCAAUAACUUGUAACCAUGCUUCUUUACAUAUAGUAAUUGCAUUUGUUAUUCUACCUAAUUUAUGAAAAAUCUCAAAUUCACAAUUUAUUAUUCACAAGCCAAACAACCAAUUUAUUAUUCCAACCAACCAAUUUAUUAUUCACAUGCCAACCAAUUUGCUUUAUUGAAGUUAUUAUACUUAUAAGCUUUCACAUAUAACCAUGCUUCUUUACAUAUAUUAAUUGCAUUUAUUGUUGUACCUCAUGAAAAUUUUCAAAUUUGCAACAACAUAUUAUUCGCAUGCCAACCAACCUCUUUUUUUUUAUUAUUGAAGUUAUUAUACUUAAAAGCUUUCACAUGUAACCAUGCUUCUUGUAACACUUUUCAUUGGAUCCGAUCAUUGGGUCCGAUCUACAGAACGCUACAGUCAUUAUCAAAGCAACUACAGUCAGAAUUACGAUAAGAUAAUUUUUAUUUAAACGUCAAUCACGAUUCAAUUACAGUAAUACAUUAAUUAUGAGCUUUAAUCGAGCUUACGAAAACUUUUUUGGCAGUCCGAACAAGAAUUAGGACCAAACUGUAAAGAUUUGAAAAGUUUAGAGCGAUACUGCGACUUCAGCUUUUCCUCAUCGCAACAUGACCAUCUCAGUAUGUCACAUCAUAUCAAAAAGCCUAUGCUCGUCGCGGCGAGACUCUCUGACUUGGCAAUGUCGCAAUGUCAAGAUUCGUAGCCGUGAUGUGAACCCUAUAUUUGACAAAAAUAAACAAUUUGGUAUCUAAUUCAAAGCUCCAACUAGAAUUAUGCAAGAAAAAUACAUUACGUGCCAUUUCUAAAUGACUUAAAACUUACCUUAAACAUGCUAAGUAAGUUUAAACAUAUCAUUUCAAUUCCAUAGCAAUUCAUAUUACCAUUUCAUCAAUUGUAUUCAACUUUUCAAUAACUUAAACUAAAUAUCAACAAGUUAUACAAACAUCUACCAUUACCUUUAUCAUGCCAUAAUGAAUCAUUCCAUUUCAAACAAUCAUCACAUUAGUUCUUUCAUUUUUCUUUUUUAGUCAUCAUAUGCAAACCAACUUAAAUAGAUCACAUUCCAACUUUCUAAAUGCAUCAAAUAUUUCAUAGCAAAGAUCAUGCCAAGAACCCACAUGCAAAGUCAUUAUAUACCACAUUAAACUCAACAAAACUUUUACACAACCAAAGUCUACUACAAAUGUUUAUAUACAUGUCGCAAUCCUUGACUCAAAAUGAUAAAAAAUAAACUACCAAAUUGAUGAGAAAAUAGUUUAAGCUUAGAACAAUCCAACCGACGUGUUCUGCAAGGUAACAACCUAAAAGAAAAAAAGAAACAACGGGAUAAGCAUAUGAUAUGCUUAGUAAGCUCAUAUGGAAACUAAAACUUACCUAGAUCCAUUGAACAUAAAAAAUUACUCAAUAAGCUAUUGAAUUAAUUUUUCCUUGGCACUUAUAUACAUAUAGUACAUGUAACAACAUUGCAAGUCAAAAGUGUUAGAUACAAUGUUGAAUCAUAAUCCCAUCAACCUUUAAAACAUAAUCACAUAGCAAUCUACAUAUCAAAUUUCAUCAAUUUAUUUUUCAAUUCAAGAUUUAAUUCCAUUUCCAACCAUUUAAUCAUCCUCUGAUAAAACUAUAGUAAAAAAGACCUAGGUACAUGGGACUAUUUUGCUGACACUUUAACGAACUUUCUCACACAAGUUGAUUUUAUAUUAGAAUUGUUCACACAAGUUGACUUUGUAAUAAUUGCUCACACAAGCUAACUUUAUAUAAUGGAAUUGUUCACACAUCCUGACUUUGUAAAAUGCUCACACAAGCUGACUUUGUAAUACUUCCAUACAACUAAUAUUUAUGAUUCAAUUAAAUUCAAGACAAUUGUGCUAAAUUCUAACAAUUAUAUAUAUAUAUAUAUCCUUUUUUUCGGGAUCAUUCCAAAAAAAACCGUUUUUAAUUUUUGGUGCGGAACAAAAAAAAAGUGAAUUGAAUUUAAAGUUGGAUCGAGUGAAUAAAUGGAUAGAGCUCCACGGCCCCAAUUAUAGGGAAACAAAAAGUAACAAGCUUCUGUUCUCAAUUUGAAUAAUUACCUAAUCUAAUUAAACUUUAAAAAAAAAAUUAGUGCCUAAUGUGGUAAAGGUUUUUCUCAUGAGUAAAUUAUCGGUUUUUUUUUUGAGUCCUAAUUAUUAUUAUUAGGCAUUCCCUUUAUGGGUUAGCCAUGAAUGUGUAGAAGAAGCAGUAUAUUGAUAAAGAAAAUAACUUUUUUUCUAAAAUCAAAAGAGCGAUUGGGUUGAAAAAAUAAAGGAUUUCUAACCGUCAUAUAUGUUGAUUCAAAUAUAAUUCAUACCAAAAUAAAAUUGAUUAUUAAGUUAAAAUAAAAUUUAGGAUGUGAAAGAAGUUCAAAAAAAAAAUUAAUGCAAAAGAAAGAUAAGGGUAUUUUUUUUAGGUCAUGGAUGUAACAACGAAGCUCGGUUAUUGUUGGUGUUGUAUGGAAGAAUCGAAGAUGUAGUGAAUGAGUUUUUAGGGUUUUAAAGUUUAACAUUGAAAGAUUGUUGUUUGUGGGUAUGUGACUGUUUUCGAUGUAAGGAAUGGUAUAAAAAAAUUACGAUUUAGGGUUUUAUUAUAUAAAUAAAGAAAGCGCCUUUUAAGAUUGUUAGAGGCACCUAUCUUUGUUUUUAGUGUAUGUAUCAUGGUCCUGAUGAUGCGGUACAAGUUUAGUUCUUUUGAGUGUGUCUUGUGAUGUGAAGUCUGUUUUGUUGGGGCUCUUGGCUCCUAUGUUUCAAUGAUAAUAAAAUAUACGUCAAACAAAAUUCUCACAAAAAACAGAGUUUACAAAACGACUAGUAAACAACACUUACUUUGGUUGAUGUAUGGCAUAAUAAGUCUGCAAAGCACCAAGCAAAAGUGCAGUAAUGGCACCCACAAAUGCCAAAAACGUCCAAGGACUCCUAAAAUAAGUAUGAUAAGCUAGAGCUGCAUGCUUAAUCCGCAUAUUCUUACAAUGAUUAUGUAUUUUCCGUUUAACCCCACCGUAAAUCAUCGGACUAGGAACCAAAUCAGUGUUCAUCUUAUUGAAAAGGUUAGCCACUUCUUCAUCACUCCCCAAUCCGUUGUAUAGUAUGCCGGUGCCACUCAGGUCUUUAACAUCUUCGGCUUCAUCGAUCAAUAAAUCAAGGAAACACAUAUAUGAAGUGACAGUGAAAUCGUUUUUGAAAUCCGGGCACAUUUCGUAAGCUAUCAAGUUCAUGGUUGAAUCAUUGACGGCGAUUGGCGGUAAACAUAAUUUUCCAACGAAGAUACGGUUGAAACAGAUUCGUAGUAGAUUCAGUAGGUGAAUUGGACUUGCAGCUUCCACCAUUACCAUUUUCUAGAGCUAAAUCUGUGUCAAGUCAUCGAUUUAUAAGUUUAAUUGAUCCGAUGUAUUCAUAUUUGUUGAUUAAAUAAAUCAUUAAAAAUUUUGAUUUUAUUAUUUAGUUCAAUAAGUUUUUUUUUUUUUUUACAAUUCAACCUGAUUCUUAAGUCAAUCGAUCUAAUGACUUUCUUUAAACUCAUACCUCAAUUAAUUUUCAAUCCAAUAUAAUCCAAACAACAUUUCGUAAAAUAUAAUUUUAUUUUACCAUUUUGAAAAGUUGGAUUUGAAAAUGCACACUCAACAGGAUCAAUACAAAGGGACAGGCGAGGUCGUUCUCAAAAAUAGAAAAUUAUAUUUUCAUCCUUUUUAAAUUAUUAAAUUAUAAAUUUAUAUAAUAAAAUUACACUUUAACCUUUUAAAAUGAAAAAAAAAAUUGUUCAACCUUUUUAAAACUGAUGAAAUUAUAAAUUAAUAAAUGAAAAAAAAAGAGAAUGAGACGAAACUUGUUGAUCAAGCUAGUUGGAUAGAGAAUUAAGUAAAGGUGCUCAUGGGUAAGGUUGAACCCAAUAAAAGAUUUAUGCCUCAGCUUGGCCCACUCGUUUUAAUUUUUUUAAAUUUUUUUAAAUUUUUUUAAUAUAAUUUUUAAAUAUAUAUGAUACAUUAAAAAUACUAAAAAACAUUAAAAUAAAUAUUUCCCAACAAACUAAUUUUUUUUUAAAAAUAUGUAUACUUAAAUAACAUUAAAGUAGACACUGUAAAAUGGUAAUAAAAUAGGAAGAAAAUGACAAGAAACUAGCAUUAAAACAAUAAAAAAAUAACAUAUUUUUUUGUCCUUUUGUGAUUCGGGCUAGGGUUGGGCCAAAAAUGUCUUACCCGAGACUCGGCCUAUUUUCAAAACUAGAUUUUUUUUUGCCCAAGUCAAUUUUUUAGGUCUAUAUUUUUACUUAAACCCUUAUAUUUCUCGGACGAGCCAAAUGACCCAAUCUAUGAGUAAGUCUAGAAUCAAGCAAGAUACUGGUCCAGAAGAAAAGGAUAGACAAAUUGAAUCGAAUAGUAAAAUCGAUUUUUUUUAUAUUUUUAAUAUAACUUUAAUAUUUUUUAAGAUUCUAUAUAAUUUAAACGAAUGAACUAUUCAACCGAAAAUGAGGAUCUAAUCGAUUCCAUCACCUAGUUAUAAAAAUCUUUAACACUUAUAAACUCCACAAAAUAUUCUUUUUAAAAUUCCUUAAAUUACCUGUCCCGCUGAUGUGAUUGUGGCUCUUUUAUCUCGGCUGGGUUGACAACAGUGUCGUCGAUGAACCUUUUGAUUGAAUCCAUGAACUUUUUGCCAUCCCCCGAGCUUGUAAGCAAUUCAGGAACACGAAAAGGUGAUUGGUUUUCCAACAAGAACAGAUCCGAGUACACAAAUGUCAGCAAAUCGUUUUUAAUGAAAUUCGUUCGACUUACGAUCAUAAUCUUGGCCGUAACGCAUAUAAACUGCUUGUAAAAUUGCGCAGCCGUCAAUUCCUUUGGAUCAUAGCUUUUCUUCAAGCCAUCCGGCUCUGUCUUCAUGUUGUUGUACAAGGUAUCAUUAUCGAUGCCAAUUUUUUUAACGAAAUUUGCUGCUAAAUUGAGCUUGAGCUUCUCGGACUCGUGGAGGGUGGGAUCAUCGUGGUGGAGUGGGCCAAUUGAGAUCACUUUCGGCUUGAAAUAUUUCCGGAAAUCUUCGUCACGGCGAAGGGUUGCUGGGACUCUUUUGUCAAUAGUUUGGCUUUGGGGUCGAGAUGGUCCCCUUCGAAAGCUUCGUCUAAUGACCAGCAAUUCCGUGAUUCGCCAUUGCUGUGAGUGAAGUCUGUACCCGGUAUUGGAAUGAUCGUCUCUAGGGGAUUGUUGUUCGUGUUGUUAUUGAUGACUGUUUGAUCAGUGGAAACUACUCCACCGGGAGCUCUGACGGCGCCGCCUCCUUCUGUAACACCCCUAUACCAUGUUUGACUUAAGGAACCUAAUAUAAGAAUAUUACAUUUGAUGCCAAAGUAAUUCUUGGCUAAUUACUAUUAUAUUUGAACAUAAAAACAGACAAAUAAUAAAUUUAAAUAAUUUAUAUUUAAAUCCAUUACUACUACUUGGGACAUAAUUUUUUUUAAGUACAUGCCAUUCUAUUCAAAAUUUUAAAACAUACCCGUUGUUGCUUGAAGAUGUGAUGAGAUGAAAGCUUACAAUCUCAAAUUCGACUCUCAAAAAUUUAUGUACCUAAUUUGCGCAAGGAAACAAAUCGUACAAUGAGUAUACACCCAGUGUUAUUACUAUAAUUCAAAUACUUAAGGUAAAAACAAUAUAUAUACACAUUAAAUCUUACCACUAUUUUACCUUCAAUAAAUCAUUCAUGCAUUUAAACUUUAAAUUUAUUCUAAUAAUAUGUAUCUUAAAUAGCUUUUCUUUAUUUUAAUUUAUAUAUCUACUUAUUAUAUCAAUAUUCAUUUCAUGCAUUUCAUCAAUAACCAUUUCAUAAAACUAUUAUUUCAUAUAUUUCAUUUCUAUAUCCUAAUUCAAUAAUUUAUUCUAUUCCAUAUCUAAAACCUUACAACAUUAGUCUUUCAAUAAUUAUUUAAACCAACAUUUUUCAAUAAAAAUAAUUAUAAUUAAUUCAUAAGAUUAUAUCCAACUAACUCAUACACUAUUUCAUUAUUUCCUAUUCAUUCUAUUUUCACUUCUUAUUUCGAUAUCUCAAUUUCAAUUCACAUUUCAAUUCAUAAUUUCACUUUCUCAUACUUUCAAUAGCUCAAUCCAUCAAUUCAUUUGAUUUUUUCAUUUCAUUUAUUCAACUGAUUUCAAAAUCAAUAAUUCGAUAUUUUAGCAAAUUCAUGAACCUUAUGUUCAUGCUUCAAAUCUCGCAUCUUAAUGCCGUUCACAAUUCAACUCAUAAUUUCUUUCUCAUAUCUCUAAAAGUACGAUCAAUCAAAUUUAUUUAAUUUUCUCAUUUCAGUUAUUCACCUUAUUAACAAACCCGGACUUUGACGGAUACACGAAUUCCAACCCAAACACACCAGUACGGCAUAUUGUGCCUAAAACGGUACAUAGUACCUGAUCAGUAUACGACACAUAAGUGCCUGAAAUGACACACGAGGUGCCUAAUAUGACACACGAGGUGCCUGAAAUACGCAAAGCCGAUAUAUCCCGGACUCUUAUAAAUCCUAUGGCAUGCCAAUUAUAUCCGACUCAGCCCGACUAGAUAAUAGGGUAUUUCAAUUCUCAAUUCACUUUCAUUUCCAAUUCAAUAUCACUUUUCAAUUACAAUUUCUCAUUCAAAUCAAUAUACAAUUCAAUUGUACAUACACAUUCAUCAUUCAAUUCAAUUCUCAUUCAUUUCAAAAUCAAUUUUUCACUUUCUAAUCAAUAAACAAUUCAAUACCAAUACAUAUUUCAGAUAAUCACAUAUAAUCAUAUUUCGAUUCAAUUCAAACCACUUUUCAAUCAAUACACAAUUCACAUAUUCACACAUAUUCAUAAAUUAAUUCACUUUUAUUUAAUUCAUAUUUUUAAUUCAUUUUCCAAUCAAAUUCAAAUCACUAAUUACUUUUCAAUCAAUAUACAUUUCAAAUACUCACAUAUUUUCUUCAUUCAAUUCAAUUUGAUUCAAUUAAAAUCACUUUUAGUUUCCAAUCAAUAUAAUUUCAAAUAUUCACAUAAUUCGUAAUUCAAUUACUUAAAUCACUUUUAAUUUCCAAUUUGUUCACAUUCAAUUUCAAUAGCCAUAAACAUUUUUGAAUCAAUUUCAUUCAAAUCAAUAUCAUCAUUUCAAUUGCUUACCUAAUUUUAUUUGCCAUGCAUUUUAAUUCAAAUAUAACAAUUAAUAAUAAAUAGAUUUGAAUUAUAGUAGUACAAACCCGGAUUUGUUCGAUUACUCCUCGAUAACGUUUCCUUUCUUUUCGGUGCCGAUGCCUCGAUUUCUUUGGUAACUACAAAAAUAAUAAUAAUAAUUUACACUUAUUAAUAACAGCACUAAUUUAUAAUAAUGAUUGAAUUUCUAUUCAAUUUAUAUCCUAAUUCCAAUUUAAUCCUAAUUAACUCAUUUACUUUUAUAAUUCAAUUCAUACUUCAUUUCGAUUCAAUUUCCUUCCAUAUUUCACUUAACUAUCUAAUGUUCAUAAUAAAAUUAUAAUUUAAAAUUUCUUUCAAUUUAGUCCUUUCAACACAAAACUUAUAGCUUCUUUUACAAUUCAAUCCCUUACCAAAUAUAACUUGAAAUUCAUUCAAUUAAAUCCCUAAUUCAUCUUUUUGUUCAACAUGAACUAUACUUAUAAACCUAUGAACUUUCAAAGUAUCAACUUAAUUUCAUCAAAACCUUGUUCUAAAGCUUGUAAAACAUCAAAAUUAAGUAAAAAUGACUUAAUUGACUUACCUAUUAAAGUUUUAACCUUCAAACCCUAGUUUUUCCCCAUUUUCUUUUCUUUCCCUUUUCUUUCUUCUUGUUUUCGAAUGGCUUCUGCUAUUCUUUCUUUUGCUUUCUUUCUUUAUUUCAUUUCAUUUAUAUAUAUAUAUAUAAUAUUAGUUAAUAAUGAUAAUAAUGAUAAUAAUAAUUAUAAUAAAUAUCUUUUAAUAACACAUAUUUACAUUACAUUUGUCACCACUUAAUUUGUUUAUCGUACACAAAAAUCUUAUAAUAUAAUUAUUUAAUUAAUAACUAUCUUUUACUUAAUUUUCAAGUAAAUAAAUAAAUAUAAUACAAAUGUAUAUAUUUACAUUAUUUCAAUUGUCACUAUCCAAUUUUUUUAUUAGUUAUCUAAUAAAUAUCUUUUACUUAGUAAUAAUAAAUAAUAAAUAUCUAUUUACUAAUUAAAUAUAAGUAUUACAAAUGUACAUAUAUUUUUUUUACAAGUGUACAAUAUCAUCACCACCCAUUUGGCAAAAUUUUGAUUUAUUCAUAUAAUAUAAUAUAAUAUUUUUAAUUUAUAACUAAUAUAAAUUGCCAUAUAAUAAAAUAAUUAUAUACAUAAUAAUUUAAUAAUAAUUAAACAAUAAAAAUUUUAGAUUUUUAUCAACAUUUGCCGCCUCAUUUAUGGUGAAUGGUAUAUUUUCCAUUUUGGUCCCCCUUUCUUUUUAUUAAUCUAAUUUAGCCCUUAAUAUUUAUAAUUUUACCAAUUUGAUUUUUAUUCUUUUUAGUUAAAUUUAAUUCUCUACCUAGUGUCAAAUUUGACUAUUGAUCUUUUAGAAAAUUGUCGAAUUAAUGUUUUGUUCUUUGCUUUCAAUUUGGUUCUGUUCUUAAGCAAAUUUCUGCUUUGUUUCUUCUCCAAGUCACGAGUCUUGUUGUUCAAGUCAUAGCUGAACUAGCUUGCUUGUUGUUCAUAACACCAACAACCUGUUCUCGGCUGGGUUGAUAACAGUAUCAUCGAUGAACCUCCGGAUUGCAUUCAUGAACAUUUUGCCAUCACCCAAGCUUGUAAGCAAUUCAAGAACACGAAAAGGUAAUUGAUUUUCCAACAAGAACAGAUCCGAGUACAAAAAUGUCAGUAAAUCAUUUUUAAUUAACAAAUUACCAUCAUCAUCAUCAUUAUCGUAACGCAUGUCAACUGCUUGUAAAUUUGCGCAGCCGUCAACGAUGAACAUCCAAGCCAGUUCCUCGUUAUCGUCUCUAUACUUCUCUAAUUCCUGUGGAUCAUAGCAUUCCUUCAAGCUAUCCAUCUCUUUCUUAAUUUUUCUGUACAAGGAUUUCUUAUCGACGCCAAUUUUUUUGACGAAAUGUGCUGCUAAUUUGAGGUUGAGCCCCUUGGAUUCACGGAGGGUGAGAUCAUCGUGGUGGAGUGGGCCGAUUGAGAUCACUUUCAGCUUGAAAUACUUCUUGAAAUCUUCGUUACGGAGAAGGGUUGAUGGGACUUUUUGUAUUAAUGGUUUGUAUCUAAGGGUGGGUUGGCCACCAAAAGCUUUGUCUAAUGACUGGAGCUUCGCUACUUCGCCAUCGCUGAGAGGGACGUCGGUGAACCACAUAUCAAUUCCCACGUAAUCGUUGUUGGUGUUGUUGUCGAUGAUUGUUUGAUUAGUGGAAACUGCUCCGGCGGCGCUGCCUCCUUCCUCCAUGGACGACAUUUUCAGGCUGACCGGCUCGAAGUAAUUAACAAGGUGAUUUUGAAAACUUGUUUUGGCUGAUUGAGUGAUGUUGGAAAAAAGGUGGCAAAAUGGCUACGAUGAUAACAAAUCUUCUAUAGCUUACAUAAAGAGGCGAAUAUAGGGGAAUGUAAAAUUGUUAUUUAGGCCCUUAAUAUUUUUUAAAAUUUUAAAUUAGUAAAAGUGAAAUUACAUUUUGGCCUUAUAAAAUUAUAAAAAUUCAAUUUAAUCUUUUAAAAAUUAUAAAGAUAUAGACUACAAAAAAUUAAAAUCUCAUUCGAUCCACCCUAAAAAAUUAUUCGGGCUUCGCCACUGCUUACAUAAUAAACAUAUGGAAAAUACUUUUGGUGUAAUUCAAAUUUACCCCUUAUAGUCAAUUUAAUUUUCAUUUUUUUAAUUUAAUUUUCUAUCUUUUGGAAGAGUUGAAUUUAACUAUCAAUUUAAAUUAAUAUUUUUUAACGAAAAUAGUGACUAAAAUAUUAAAAUAUUAAACAUGACAACUCAAACGGCAAUCCACAUCUAUAUGUUUUUUUUAUUUAUUUCUUAUUUUUAAAUUAUUUAUUGAUGUGACAUAUAAUAAAAGUAUUGUUAUAUUAGCAUGAAGUACACAUGGAAGGCCACACGAGUUGUGACACCAAUAUCGUUAAAAAUUAAUAUUUUAGUUAGCAUAUCUGUUAAAGAAAAGCAAAUGAACUCUUUUUUCAAAGGUUAAUGGCUAAAUUUAGCUCAAAUGAAAAAAAAAAAAGGCCAAUUUGAUAAAAAAGGUAAAUGUCAAGAGUUAAGUUUAACAUUUAUACAAGUACAAAUAUAUGUCUGGAUUAAUCUAGAAAGAACAAGACAAACUCUACAGGUGAUAUACAAAUGUGAUGAGAGUGGAACCUGCACAUCACAAUUGAGAAUAAUAUUAUAGAACCUAAAUACUCAAAAACCUAAAACCUUCCCCUUAACCAAGAAGCUAAGACGCCAUGGAUAAUUUUAUAUCUACAACACUUAUGAAUUUCAUAUGCUUAAUAAUAGUUUACAAAAAGACAAGUAAAGAACACUUACUUCGGUUGAUGUAUGGUAUAAUAAGUCUGCAAAGCACUAAGAGUAAGUGCAGCAAUGGCACCCAAAAAUGCUAAAAACGUCCAAGGACUCCUAAAAUAAGUAUGAUAACCUUGAGCUGCAUGAUUAAUCCACAUAGUCUUACAAUGAUUAUGUAUUUUCUCUUUAACCCCACUGUAAAUUGUCGGACUAGGAACCAAAUCAGUGUUCAUCUUAUUGAAAAGCUUAGCCAUUUCUUCAUCACUGCCCAAUCCAUUGUAUAGUAUGCCGGAGUCUCUAAGGUCUUUAACAUCUUCGGCUUCAUCGAUCAAUAAAUCAAGGAAACACAUAUAUGAAGUGACGGUGAAAUCGUUGUCGAAAUCCGGACACAUUUCGUAAGCUAUUAAGUUCAUGGUUGAAUCAUCGACGGAGAUCGGCGGUAACCGUAAUUUUCCGAAGAAGAAGAUAUGGUUGAAACUGAUGUCGGUUAAAUUACUUGUUUCGCUGGCUUCUAACCAUAUCCCGGCCUUUUUAAGCUCUUUUACGUUACCAAUGGUGCGUGAAUGGUACCGUUUUGUUCUUUUUCUUCUUGCUGCUGCUUUGCCAAAUCCGUGUCGAGUGAAUUCCCAAAGAAAACACCAGCACCGUAUUCGUACUUUUCUGAGAAGGAGUCUUUCUCGUAGUAGAUGCAAUAAGUGAAUUCGCUCUCCUUCUUUUUGCUGCUUCCACCACCAUUCCCUACACCAAAAUCUGUGUUAGUCGGAAGCCAAGCUACAAUUUCUCUUUUCUCUUUUCUUUUUUUCUUUUUUGUUGUUAAUACAAAAAUAUUAAAAAUCAAUCUAUACUUGUUAAUCAAGUUGGUUGAAUAAAAAAUUAAAUAAAAUUGAAGUUAUACCAAUUGAAUUAAAGAAUGGAAUAAAUUUCUUUUUAUAUUUUUAAUAUUUUUAAAAAUUUAUAUAAUUAAACUGAAUUAACUAAUCAAAUGGAAAAGAGAGUCUAAUAGAUUCCAUCACCUAUGUAGUUAUAAAAACCUUUUAACAUUUAUAAACUCCACAAAAAUGAUUCUUUAUUUAAUUCCCUAAAUUACCUGUCCUCGCCUGGGUUGAUAACAGUUUCGUCGAUGAACCUUUGGAUUGCAUUCAUGAACUUUUUGCCAUCCCCCGAGCUUGUAAGCAAUUCAAGAACACGAAAAGGUAAUUGGUUUUCCAACAAGAACAGAUCCGAGUACACAAAUGUCAGCAAAUCGUCUUUAAUAAACAAUUUACCAUCAUCAUCAUCAUCAUCAUCAUCACCGUAACGCCUGUAAACUGCUUGUAAAAUUGCGCAGCCGUCAACGAAGAAAAUCCAAGCCAGUUUCUCGUUAUCGUUGCUAUAGUUCUCUAAUCCCUUUGGAUCAUAGCAUUUCUUUAACUCAUCGAUCUCUGUCUUCAUGUUGUUGUACAAGGUAUCCUUAUCGACGCCAAUUUUUUUGACGAAAAGUGCUGCUAAUUUGAGCUUGAGCUUCUCGGAUUUAUGGAAGGUGGGAUCAUCGUGGUGGAGUGGGCCGAUUGAGAUCACUUUCGGCUUGAAAUACUUACUGAAAUCUUCGUGACGACCAAGGGUUGAUGGGACUCUUUGUAUCAAUGGUUUGGCACGGAGGUCGAUUUCGUCGCCGUCGAAAGCUUCGUCUAAUGACCGGAGAUUCACUACUUCGCCAACGCUGAGAGGGACGUCCAUAUCAAUGCUCACGGAAUCGUUGUUGUCGGUGAUUGUUUGAUCAGUGGGAGCUGCUCCGACGGCGCCGCCUCCUUCCUCCGUGGAGGACAUUUUCAGGCUGAGCGGUUGGAAGUAAUAAACAAGGUGAUUUUGUAAACUGUUUUUGGCAGAGUGAGUGAUGUUGGAGAAAAGGUAGCAAAGUGGAUAAGAUGAUGACAAAUAUUUUGUAGCUUACAUGAUAAACAUAUAUGGGAAAUACUUAAGGCGUUAGUGUUUAUAUUUUUACUAAUAUAAACAAUGAUAAAAAAGAAAAGUUAAAUAGUGACAAAUACUAAAAUUGAGAAUAAUAUUAUGGAACCUAAAUACUCAACACUACUCAAAACCUUCGCCUUUAACCAAGAAACUAAGACCCUAUCUGAGGGAGAAUUUUAUAUCUACAACACUUCCUAAAUUUCAUUAGCUUAAUAAUAGCUAUUCAAAUAUAUUUUUUCAUUUUAUUACUGACUUUAAUAUUUAAAUUAUCAUUAUAUUGCAUGAUUUAUUCCAAAUAUUUACAUAUAGUAAUUGCAUUUGUAAUUCUACCUAACUAUGAAAAAUCUCAAAUUUGCAACAUGUUAUUCACAUGCCAACCAACCAAUAUAUUAUUCCUACCAACCAAUUUAUCAUUCACAUUCCAACUUUCUAAAUCCAUCAAAUAUUUCAUAUUCAUGUACUAACAAAGAUCAUGCCAAGAACCCACAUGCAAAGUCAUUGUAUAGUACCACAUUUAACUCAAUCGGACUUUUACACAACUAAAGAUUACUCCAAACGUUUAUAUGCAUGUCACAAUCCUUCACUCAAAAUGAUAAAAAAAACUAUUAAAUUGACGAUAAAAUAGUUUAAGCUUCGACCGAUUCAACCGACGUGUUCUAGCAUAUAAUAUGUUUAGUAAGCUCAUAUGGAAACUAAAACUUACCUAGAUCAAUUGAACAUAAAAAAUUACUCAAUAAGCUAUCGAAUUAAUUUUUCCCUGACACUUAUAUACAUAUAGUACAUCUAAUAAAAUUUCUGUUAAAGAAAAGCAAUUUGACUCUUUUUCUAAAAAGUUAAUAACUAAAUUUAGCUCAAAUAAAAAAAAAGAAUAAAAGUCAAUUUGAUAAAAAAUAUAAAUAUUAAAAAUUAAAUUUAUCAUUAUAUCUUUUUUAAGUAAUUAUUUGUGGUGAGCCAUCAUGUCUGACGAUGAUUUUUAAAUACUGUAUUAAUUAUAUAUAGCACAUCAUAUUUCACUAUAAUUUCUAUAGACUUUUUAAACAUGGGGUUAAUUGUUUAUGGCCCAUUGCCCAUGUUGCUUUUAUUAAAUUUUGGGUGAACUUCUCAUUUUGGUCAAAAAAAAAUUGUAUUCUCAGUAUAAAACAAAAAACUAAUCUUUAAUGUUUAUGGCCAAACCCCACCUCUCCUAUCCUAUAAUAAUGGUUCUUGGCUUCUUCUAUCCUACACCUCAAUUAUUUGGAUUAGAUUGAAAAACAAUUGACACUUGAUUUGAUUGUGAAAUAAAGUUAAAUUUUAAAUUUAUAAUAUUUAAUUUGAGUGUGAAUGAAUUUUUGACUUAAUUGAAAAUUUAAAAUUUUAAGUUCGAGUCGUAUUUAAUUAUGUGUGUAUAUCGUGUAUAAAUUUUGUUCAAAUUUAUUUUGAUUUAAUUUUCAUACUAUAUAUUCUUAAUUAAAUUCGGAAUAUAUUUUGAUUAUCAAUUUAACCAUACAUUGUAACGAUGGAUUAAAAUUAUAGUUAAUUAUAUAUUGAAACUAAAUAAUUAGUUUAAGGAAUUAAAAGAUAUUAUUAUAUUUUAUAAAAUUUGAAUAGAUUCAUAAUUAAUUCGAGAUUAAAAAAUGGGAGAAGAAAAGCUAAAACCAAACCUUUUUUACGGUUGGAACUAAACCCCAUGCGGUGUGGAAAAUUGCAAGUUUCCAGAAUAUACCUACACUUACUAAUUAUAAUAAAUAUCUUUUACUUAGUAAUAAUAAAUAAUAAAUAUAUAUUUACUAAUUAAAUAUAAAUAUUACAAAUGUACAUAUAUUUUGUUUACAAUUGUACAAUAUCAUCACCAUCCAUUUGGCAAAUUUGAUUUGUUCAUAUAAUGUUAAUUUAUAACUAAUAUAAAUUACCGUAUAAUAAAAUAAUUAUGUACAUUAUAAUUUAAUAAUAAUUAAACAAUAAAAAUCUUAGAUUUUUUAUCAACAUUUGCCGCCUCAUUUAUGGUGAAUGGUAUAUCUCCCAUUUUGGUCCCCCUUUCUUUUUAUUAAUUCUUUUUCCUAAUUUCUCCUAAUUAAGCUAAAUUCACUUAAUUAAAUCCUAAUUAAACACACAACUAGCCUCACAAAUAUUCUUAAUAAAACAUUUACAAACUCGGUUUACUAAGACAGAAGCCCUAUAACUCACUUUUUCGGUGCCCGUGAAUUUUGGGCCAUUACACAUUCUUCCGUGGAUAACAUUUUUAGGCUGAGCGGUUCGAAGUAAUUACCAAGGUGAUUUUGUAAACUGUUUUUGGCUAAGUGAGUGAUGUUGGUGAAAAGGUGGCAAAAUGGCUACAAUGUUUCUAUAGCUUAUAUAUAAUGAACAUACGGAAAAUAUUUUUGUGUAAUAUCAAAUUUAGCCCUUAAUAUUUAUAAUUUUACCAAUUUGAUUCUUAUUCUUUUUAGUUAAAUUUAAUUCUCUACCUUUUGAAAGUGUCAAAUUUUCUUGGCUGGAAGCUCACUGCAUGGAAGCCAAAAUCAAAACAAACUUUUGAUGGUUUAAUUGUUUUUGAGCCCUUCAAUUUCAGGUGCUAUGAGAAAUGGAUUACAACCUCAUCUUGUCGUUAUCCCAAAAUCAAAACAAGCAACUCUUGGUUGAAAGUUGAAACCAAGGGCCAAGUCAAAAUUGUUUUAGGAUGAGUCCAAAAUGAAUAAUGAAUUUGAAGGUUCAAAAUAAAAUUUUAUUAAUAUAUAAAUUUAUAAUUUCAUAAAUUUUAAAAGGAUUAAAUGAUAAAUUUACUAAUUUAAGAAGACAAUAGGGAUGGUCAAAUAUUCUAAUUGAACCUAUCUGCGAUCGGAUCGGGAUGGAUUUUUUUAAUUAAAAAAAUUAAAUAGAUUGAAUCGAAAUUCUAGGAGUUACAAAAUUCUCAUAAAUAACAAGAGUUUACAAAAAGUACACUUACUUUGGUUGAUGUAUGGUAUAAUAAGCCUGCAAAGCACCGAUAAAAAGUGCACCAAUGGCACCCACAAAUGCGAAAAACGUCCAACGAGUCCUAAAAAAAGUACGGUAAACUUGAGCUGGAUAUGUAAUCCACAUAUUGUUAUGAUGAUCAUGUAUUUGCAGUUUAACAUGUCUGUAAAUCAUCAGACUAGGAACCAAAUCCAUGUUCAUCUUCUUGAUAAGCUUAGCCACUUCUUUAUCACUCCCAAAUCCAUGGUAUAGUAUGCCUGCGUCUCUCAGUUCCUUAACAUCUUCGGCUUCAUCGAUCAAUGAAUCAAGGAAACCCAUAUAUGAAGUGACGGUGAAAUUGUUGUAGAAAUCCGGACAAUUUCGUAAGCUAUUAAGUUCAUGGUUGAAUCAUCGACGGUGAGAGGCGGUAACCGUAAUUUUCCGACGAAGAAGUAAUGGUUGAAACUGAUGUCGGUUAAACAACUUGUUUCGCUUGCUUCUAACCAUAUCCCGGCGUUUUUAAGCUCUUUUACGUUACGAAACGGGUGUGAAUGGUGAGGUUUUAUUCUUGUAUGGUUUCUGCGAUUUGUGAAGGAUAUGCAAAACCUAGAAGGCCAUGGUUUUUCUUUUUUGAAAAGGAGUCUUACUCGUAGUAGAUGCAAUAAGUGAAUUGGCUCUUUAUUUUUUUCUUGCAGCUGCUGCCACCAUUCACUAGAGCAAAAUCUGUGUUAGUCGGGAGCAAGCUAAAAUUAAGGUUUUCAAUGGUUGAAUCAAAUCAUUAUUAUUUAAUAAAAAAUUAUUUAAAUUAUUAAAUUACAUUUUAAUCCUUUUAAAAAUUAUUAAAUUAUAAAUUUGUAUACAAUAAAAUUAUAUUUUGACUCCUCAAAAUGAAUAAAAAAUUGUUUAAACACUUUUAAAAAAUGAUGACAUCAUAAAUUAAUGCAAAAAAAAAAUCUAAGAAUUAAACCAAACUUGUCUAUCGGCCUAAUUAAACAGAGAAUCAAGCAAGGUACUAAUCCAGAAUAAUAAAUUAAAUCCAUUGAAUCUAAUCAUCAAAUCGAUUUUUUUUAUAUUUUUAAUAUAUCUUUAAUAUUUUUAAAAUUUUAUAUAAUUGAAUCGAAUAAACUAAUCAACCAAAAAUGAGACUCUAAUGGAUUGUAUCACCUAUAUAUGUAGUUGUAAAAAUCCUUUUAACAUUUAUAAACUCCACAAAUUGAUUCAUUUAUAAAUUCCUUAAAUUACCUGUCCUGCUGAUGUGAUUGUGGGUCUUUAACAGUGCCGUUGAUGAACCUUAUGAUUGCCUCCAUGAAUUUUGUGCCAUCCUUCGAUCUUGUAAGCAAUUCAAGAACACGAAAAGGUAAUUGGUUUUCCAACAAGAACAGAUCCGAGUACACAAAUGUUAGCAAUUCGUUUUUAAUAGAAAAUUCGUUCGACGUACGACAACGAUCUUGGCCGUAAAGCAUAUAAACUGCUUGUAAAAUUGCGCAGCCGUCAACGAAGAACAUCCAAGCCAGUUUCUCGUUAUCGUUGCUAUAGUUCUCUAAUCCCUUUGGAUCAUAGCAUUUCUUUAAGCCAUCGAUCUCUGUCUUCAUGUUGUUGUACAAGGUAUCCUUAUCGACGCCAAUUUUUUUAACGAAAAGUGCUGCUAAUUUGAGCUUGAGCUUCUCGGAUUUAUGGAGGGUGGCAUCAUCGUGGUAGAAUGGGCCGAUUGAGAUCACUUUCGGCUUGAAAUACUUACUGAAAUCUUCGUGACGACCAAGGGUUGAUGGGACUCUUUGUAUCAAUGGUUUGGCACCGAGGUCGAUUUCGUCGCCGUCGAAAGCUUCGUCUAAUGACCGGAGAUUCACUACUUCGCCAACGCUGAGAGGGACGUCCAUAUCAAUGCUCACGGAAUCGUUGUUGUCGGUGAUUGUUUGAUCAGUGGAAACUGCUCCGACGGCGCCGCCUCCUUCCUCCGUGGAAGACAUUUUCAGGCUGAGCGGUUGGAAGUAAUAAAGAAGGUGAUUUUGUAAACUGCUUUUGGCUGAGUGAGUGAUGUUGGAGAAAAGGUGGCAAAG